AAAUCUUUGAAUAGCAUGUACAAGAGCAAAGAUCAAAUCCACUUCAUCAAGGAAGCUCGCAUGCGUGGGCAGAAAGGCAUCCAAUUUAAUAUACAUCUCUCUUUCCAAUAUCUCAUGCAAAAUUAGAGAUUAUUGCUCCAAUAAAAUCAGAUGACUUCAUACUAUUUGCACUGAUGAAGGAAGAAACAAAAGCCUAAAAUCCCUACGGAAAUUCUAUGACCACAUAAAUAUUAGACAUUAAACAAAUAUAUCAAGUUAUAGGUUUCAUGUACAAGAACAAGCAGUCUAUUUCCAGCUUUCAUUCCCCAAAAUUUUCAUUUGGAAGAAACCAUCUGAUCAAUUUCACCAUUUUGGUUGUACAUAGACGCAAUUUUCUUCACAUACGACGGAAUAUGCCUAUCGGCUCUGCACCCAUAAAUGUUAAAUAAGCACACAAUCAUCUUUGUUCUUCACCAGUUACAACUAUUUCGAGUAUUCAUAUUGGAAGCAUACCUUUGUUUAUAUGAUAUUUAGUUGAGAUCAUACAAUGGAAUUUAGACCAACGUCCAAUGGAGAGGAAUAAUAACUCGAAAACCAAAAGCUAAACAAAAGAGUCACAGUCGAAUAAGAUACAUGAAAAGUGUAUAAUUGCAUCCUAUGGACUCAAGAAAUAUGUUAGGCCAAUUGAAGGUCACACAUGAAAUAGAUUACGGGGUUAGAAAGAGGUCACCAAGAAUACAUGCACUGGGAGAUAGCUGAUGUUAAAAUGACAGCUAAUACUUAGAUCGUACCAUGGUUGGAUGAAAGACAUUAAGUAACAAGGAUUGAGGACAUUUGAGGGUCAAUCAAGUACAAUAAUUAUAUAGCGUUACGAGUGUUCAUUUUGAAAUAAAAUUACUCGCAACUAGUUACAUGAAGGCCACUAAACUGCAUAAUAUUUUCAGUUUAAAUUGAAUGUUGAGGUCACACACGGGAAAUUAUAGUUACAGCUAGAUAUAUCUGAAUUCAGAUUUAAAUUUCCCAUUAUUUUAUUUCAUGUAAAUUUGUUUUUGAGUUUAGAUUUUUCACAAUUAUUUUCAGGUUCGAGUGCACAUGCCAUAUGAUUAUUUAAAUUAAUAUAGUAAAAAUAAAUUAGGGUUUUCUUUGAGAGGGUCAUGAGAUCACAUGAGAUUCACUAUUCAUAACAUAUUUUAUUUUUCAGUUAUUGCAGUUAUGAAGUUAGUUGCAUUACAAUAUAUGCCUUAAUAACAAUUACAAUAGUACAAUGAUCUGAACCAUGCUCUUGGAUAAUUAAUCAAGCAGAAAUUUAGGGUUUGACUCAUCAUUGGGUGAAUGUGGGCAUUAAUUUUGCUUAGAGACUCUAAAUUUUAUGAAACACGAAAUCUAUUGAAUUGCUUGAAAACCAAGUUUGAAAUCUAUUGAAAAGCAUGAAAAAAUAAAUAAAUAAAUAAAAUUUACUAAGUUUGAAAUCAUAAUACAUUGAACUCAAAUAACAAGUACACUUUGGACGUAUUUUGUAUGUUGAAUUAUAUUGAACAAACAAAUAUGUGACAAGCCUACUUUGUGUGAUCAUGUGCAAAUUAUGCACAUGUUUGGGCGCAAUUAAUUUCAAAUUUUAAUUAAAAAUACCAACGUUGUAACAAUAUACUUGAAUUGACUAGACGCAAUAUUUGAAAAAAAAAAAAAAAAAAAAAAAAAAAACAACCUGAUGUUCGUCAUUUUCUAUUUUGAAAUACGAAAAUUGCCCUGCUUGAGAAUAUUAAAUGUAACAAGUUAGAAGCAUCACAGUCUUUCCCUCAAGAUUUUUAAUUGACUGCAGAUAAAGCAGUCAAAAAUGGUUGGCAUAGUGGUGCCCGUUGAUCGUAGAACGUUCGGAUUCUUAAUUAUGAUUUUGGGAGGGCGCCCAAACAGUGGCUACAUAGUUUAAUCACACCAAGCACGCAUUUUAUAUUCAUAAUCAGAAGUUUUUAUCUCUGGAAGUUUUAAGUGUGUAACCUUAUUUUCAAACUCUUCUAGCCAUCCACAUGUAUUUUGACACUCGUGUUCCUCGUCGGAUGCCUCUCCCAGUAAUAAUAAAAAUAAUAAUAAAAUGCACCGACUUCCUGUUUAGUUCCCAUUUCUUAGAACUUUUUUUUCCAAUUUAUUUUCAACCUUACAUUUAAUAAGACUUGUAAACCUUUCAAUCUUAUAUAUAUUUCACUAAUUUUUAUUAAAAUCUACUAAAAAUUUAAUUGUUAUCCAAAAUAAAUAGGGGUUGAAUUUGAAUCCAGAAUAACUUCGAAAUUGUUCAAUCUCUACCAAAAAGUGUAAAUAUUAGCUUUUAAAGACAGGUUUAAUAUGAAAGUUGAGCAUCAUGUAUAACAUGAAGACGAAUAAAAUUCUUUAUCUAAUAUUUCAUCUAAAAUUAUUUAAUCUAACAUAUUAGACAUGUGGUACGAUGCUCCUUUCAUGUCCAUACUAAGUUAAAAGUAUGCACCAAACGAAGAAAUCAAGAUAUAUUAUCGACGGUUUGUAGUAGCACAAGGAAGAUUUUGGCUCAGUUUUAGGCGCUAAAAUAGGCAGUAGUUACCAGCUUCAUUAGCCGAAUCUAAGUAUUGGAAAACGUGUCAAACAAAUGUGGAAUCAUUAAUCAAUACACUGUACUUACAUUUAUUUAUUUAUUAUUCUUUACGCUUAAAAAAUAUAACUCACACACGUGGUUUCAAGCCUAAUAGUAAUCUGUUUGACUUUUCGACAUGCUUAACUCGACAAAUUAACACACAAACAAGAUAAAGAUGUUAAAAAAGUCAAUGUUUUAUACAAUUAAAAAAUAUCUAUAUACACAUAUAUACAUCUCCUAAGCACCGAUGUUUAGGAGAUUAUAUAUAUAACACUAUUGCAAUUUAACAUCAUUCCACAUUUUAGCGAAGGGAAAAAAUGAUAUAUUCAGUUAUAUGUAGAAAUAUAAGAUUUAUGGUCAAUGUCACCUAAAAUGGUAAUUACCACUAUCAAUAAUAUCAUUACUUAUUUUAUCUAAUAUUACUUAUUUUAUCUAAUAACUCCACAUUUUUACGUAAAUUGAUGCUAAACACCAAUAAUACUAUAUAAUAUUACUCAUACAUUAAAACCGUCAAAUCUAAUUUGCUAAACAUUUGUAAUUAAAUAUAACUUACCAACGUAACCACUUGGAUUUGAUAAUACGACUUUUACCCUUUUCUGGAUUAUGCCACAUGCAAGCACCACUACUUCUUAGCCCAAUGCUGACUAAAUAAUUAAUGUACUUUUUUUGAAGUGUAUAUAUAUGAAGAAAAAAUAUUCGUAAGCCAUAAAGGCUCAGAAGUUGGUUUCCACAAACUAUUUUUCUUAGCUUUUCUUUAGUAAACAAUUAUGUAUUAUGAUACGUUGGGCUCAGUGCGAGUAACAAGGCCAAAAAAUAGAUGCAUGUGAAAUAUUUGUUCAUUGCAUGUUAUAUCAGAUAAUAAGAAACCACCUUUAACAAUGUGCUUGGGAAAAUAAUGUGAAUAUUAGCGAUAAAGUUCAUAAACUUGUAAUGCUUCCAUGUGGCCUUCCUUUAAAUUUUAAUCAUUAAACAGAGGAAGGUACUAAUGUCUAACUAAACAAUGAAGGGAAAUAUAAGAUAAAAAUAUAAAGAAUUAGUCAAAUGGAACAAAAGCCAAUAUGGGGACCCUCUGCUAAUCAUGAAUUCAGUUCAACACCAAUCAUAUUAAAAGGAUUCCUUUCCAUUAAUUUUAGACAUUCUAAAUUCUUGUUUAGACCCAAAAAAUAGAUAAACUACUAUUUAAGGAAAUUCUCUUAUAUGGCUAUAGAAUAACAGGCAAAAGGAGGAUCAAGUUGGUGAAAUUUUCUUAUUUCUCUCAAUACUAUGAAAGUACUUGUAGUAGAGCAUCACCGAUAAAAUGCUUGACGAUGUUCAUGGAUACGCUUUUCUCAAUAAAUCUUUCGAUAGUCCUGAAUAGAAGUCUAUUCUAGUUGUGAUUUUCACUGUGAAUGUCAAUUUGAAAACUUUCUACUGGUGAAUAUUUUUAUCAACUCAUGUUUCAGCAUUUAGUACUGUUUAUUACUUUUAAGCAAAAUGACAAUUGUUUAUUUAUAAUUUUUAAGAAUGGAUUUCAGUAAUUUCAACAUUAUUACAUCAAAAUAAUGAGCCAACACAAUAAAUUUAACAUUGGAAACCCCUUUUUGGCCAUAAUUUAGCCAAAAUAAUAUUUUGAAUAGUAAUUUUUAGGCAAAUGUGAUUAAAAAAUAGGAAAAAAAUUUACUUAUAGAAUGUGUAAAUAUGUGAUUGAAAAUGAAUAUAUAUAGAAAAAAGAGUGAAGAUAAUGGUUAUCAAACAUGGGCUAAAAUAAACUUAGUAAAUGAUAUUAAUCAUGUGAAAAUAAGGCAAAUUAUAUUAUCAUCAAUUAUUGAUCAAAAAAAGUCAAAUGUCAAUAAUAAUAAUAAUAAUAAUAAUAAUAAUAAUAAUAAGGGGUAUUUUUAAAAAUGUCUAAUUUUAAGGGUAUGCGUUGAAAAAUGUCCACUCAUUUGAUUAUAGUGUCAACUUGUCUAUUAUGUCCCUAAUGAAAAACUACAUUUUGAAAUGGUAUUCUCAACAUUUCAAAUGUCUUUAUUGACAUUUGAUUUUUUUAUCGAUUUGUCACGAAUUUUGAGAAGUGACUUCCAUAAGAAGUUACAUUAAAAUAAUGUUUUUCGACAUUUCAUAUGUCAUUCUCGACAUUUGAACACCGUUUCAUUUGUCUAGAAUGAUAUUUUCCUACACUUAAAAGUGUUGUUCUCAACAUUUCUGAAUUAAUGAAAAACAUAGCAUUUAUUGUGAUUUAACAUGUAUACUUUUUGAAAUAAGUAUGACAGGUUAUGUGUCAAAAUUUUAUUGAUCAAUAACAAUAUUGCAAAAAUGUCCAUUUUUUGUCUUAGUGUGAAAUUAUAAAUUGUUAAUAAGGGUAUUUUGGUCUAAAUUCUUCCAAAUUAGACAUUUUUGCAAUGGUGGACAUUUUGGCAAAUGACUAGAUAAAAAUGGACAUUUUGUGAAAUUUCCUCUAAUAAUAAUAAUAAUAAUAAUAAUAAUAAUAAUAAUAAUAAUAAUGCAACAAUUCUAGAAAAAUAAAGAUUAGUAAAUGAUCUGUUAGUAAAUGAUUACUAGGUUAAUAAUGUUUUUUGAGAAAAUUUGAAAAACGAAAAAAGGGUGACAUAAUAAAAGGCAAAAGGAUUUGGGAAAUUUCCUUAUUUCUCUCCAAAAUAUGGAAGUUCUAGCAGUAGAGUUUCAGUAAUCUGUGCUGAUAUACGCUUCUCUUGAUAAAGCUAUCGAUAGUUCCGGACGUAAGUCGAUUCUAGCGGCCACUUUCGUCAUGAAUGUCAAGUUGAAAAUUUUAUGCUUACUGAUGUUUUGGCAUUUAGCAGUGUUUCUUACUAUUUUCUUUAAGCAAAAUGGCAAUUGUUUAUAUAUAGCCCUUGUUUGAGCCAUAUUAUUUUCAAAAAAAUAUAUUGUUCAACAGUGAUUUGAUGUCAUUUCAACCAUUCAUUCUUCAAUAAAAUAAUAUUACACACAAAUCUAAAACUUUUUCUUAUUUUUAACCACACAUUUCUCAUUGAUUUGACAUCAAUAAUGUAUUUUUUCCCUAUAAUGUGGCUCAAACAAGUUCGUAAUAUUUAAAAAUAGAUUUCAAUAAUUUGAAAAUUAUAAAUCAAAAUAGCAUUUAAACUCGAAACUAAGCCCACGUUUGGUACCCAUUUUUUUAAAAUGCAUUUUUCUCUCCCUUCUUUUCAACCACACAUUCUUUAUUAAAAUAAUAUUACACAUAAAUUAAAAACUUUUUCUUAUUUUUCAACCUCACACUUCCCAUCAAAUUACUAUUCUAAAAUGCAUUAUUACAUAAAAAUGGCUUUCAAACACCCCCUAAAUAAACUUUAUUUAGGGAUAUUGAUCCUAUGAAAAAGAAACAAAUUAUCACUGAUUACUGAUCAGAAAAAGUCAAAUAAAAAAUAACAAUGCGACGGUUCUUGAAAAAUAAAGAUUAAAAAUUUGAAAAAAGGGUGACAAGGGUUUGAAAGAUAAUAAUUAAGAAAAAUGUAUAUACAGAGAAAAUGUUUUUAAUUCAAGAUAAUAUUGGAAAGCAGUGUUUUGAUUUCCAAAGGAGAUAGAUCUUUUCUAGAUUAACGAAAUUAUGGAAUUCCUACCACUUAAGACCUUGUGAUAAAACCCAAAUGUCAUGAACAACAAAGGAAAUACUGAAUAAUUUCGAUACCAAUUUGUUGUGAUUAUAGACGAGAAAAGAAUAUGACACAAUAUUAAGUAGUUUGUUACGAACUCAAGAAUAAAAUAAUUGGCAGGGGAAUGAAGAUUUCAUUAAAAUAUGGAGAAAGAAUUACAAUGAUUUUAUGUUUUGAUUUGUCUACUAAAUUUAUAAGGGAUAUUUCAAGCGCUAAAUGUACAGUUACAGAUGGAAAGUAAUGCUUAAAACACGUCAAAAUGCGAAAAUGAACAUGCACCGGAUGAAUAUGGUGCACAAUUGUCGGGCUAGUGCCAGGCAAGUGCCAAAUUCACUGCUUUGGACACUCGAGCGCCAGACGAGCAUAAUUACUCUAAAAAGUCCUCUCAAAUCAAUAACUCGAUCUCUUCAAGAGCAACAUAUUCUAACUCUCAAUUAAGCUUUAAAAUUUAACUUCAACUAGAAUUUACCAAAUAGGCUUUGAAUAAAAUUCCAAAAGCAUUCCAACAAAUAGAUUGCUUCUUAGUGUCGACUUUAAUUAAAUUCUCAAUCAUCUUCAAAAUAGAAUUUGAGUAACAUCCUAAUUCUAAUAAAUACCACCUUAACAAGAGUUCUACUGCAAUGAGUAAAUUUCAAAAAUUCCUCACUUUGGUGACAAAUUCCAUUGCAAGGAAUAAGCUUCAUUUUUUAAGAGGAAAAACACAAAGAAAUUCUCCAUCAAACUUUCAAACUUGAAAAUAUUCUCCACCUUUACCACAAAACCAAUGGGUUCAAACUCAAAAACCCGAGUGAUCAAAAUUCCAAGAACACCCUUGGAAGCCAAAGGCUCAAAUCGUGAGCAACAAAAUCGAACGUGAUUAACAAUCACCAAAUAAGGCCAAAACAAGUCCUGUAAUAAAAUCAUCACAAAAUGCUUCAACUGGAGGAUCUUUGCUGGAAUCAUCACCUUAAACUACGAACAAAGCAGAAUUAAUUGAAUCGGCAUCUUUGUACCAAUGUGGAGAUAUAUUCUGAGAAACGGGUCUGUUUCUUAAAAUUGAAUACAGUGGCACCUCUUUUAAUAGUGGAAAAGUGGAACUAUCCAUAACUUUCAAACUUACAUGUAUUGGUCAAAAUAUACCCCAAACAAAACUAUUAAGAUAUUGAACCAAACUCACAAUCCACUUGAGCUCAAAAUUUAUGCUGAUUGACCUUCAAAGAUUCCAUAGAAAGAGCAAGACAUUUAAUUGGGACUUUUUCUAUCCUUGUAAUACAAUAUAAGCACCCUUACAAACUUUCAAGACUUUAUCUUUACCAAUGAAUUUGUACCCUUUCAAGUUAAGAGUACUUAAGGAGAUAAUAAUUUUCUUCAAAUCAAGAAUAUGCGUAUUGCAUCAAGUGUUUUUAACUUCCAUCAAUCAGCAUAAUCCUAACCUUUCCUAUAUGGCUAUUUGACAAGGCGUAUUAUUAUCUAUUACGACAAUACAUUUGGAAGCUUUUUCAUAUGUUAUAAAUGAAUCUAGAUUGGAACACAUACAAAAAAUGCAAGCCGUAUCAAGAAUCCAUUCAUUUUCAAGUUUAGAAUUGCCAUCAGAAAUAACCCAAAGAUCUCCAUCAUUGUGAAAUGUUUCUCUAAUACUGGCUUCACUCAAAGUAUCUAAUUGAUUUCCCUUUUGAUUAGCUGCAGCCAAUUUUUCUUUAUUCUGUAACUUAUAACAAUCCUUAACCAAGUAUUCCUUCUUUUUGCAAUAAGUACAAAUUUUAUUUGUGAAGUUAAACUUUAAUUUGUCCCUUCCAGAACGACCAUCAACAAUAGAACCAUUUCCAUGAGCCUUAAUUCAAAUGAGAUGUUUCAUCUUCUCCGUUGAAUAAAGAGCAUCAUAAACAUCUUCAAUGGUAAGAUUAUCAUGAUUAUAGGAUCGUGUCUCUAAACGACAUAUAUGAAUUGGACAACAGACACAAUAAAAUCAAACCCGAAUCUUUGUUAUCAGAUUUAACCUCCAAAGUUUCAAGAUCAGCAACAAUUUUCUUAAACACAACUAGGUGGUCUUCAAAAGAUGUACUUUAUGCUAUACGGUGAGAAUAAAUGCCCUGCUUCAAGCACAAUUUGCUAUUAAGACUUUUCGUCAUGUACAAUUGCUCUAAUCUUAAUCAUAACGCAACAACGGACUUCUCCUACAAAAUGUCUUGAAGAAUGUUAUUCGAAAGAUGAAGAUGGAUUUAUAAUAGGGCCUUCUAAUCGCUACGUUGUUUCUUCUCCUAAUUUCAAAUUGUGAGCAUCUUGUUAAAUCUUAACAAUGUAUCGUCCUAAUCCAUCUGAGGAAGUAUUGCUCUCGUCUUUACCUGUCACAAUGAAAAUUUUGUGGUGCAAUCCAAAAGCGAAAUAUCAUAUUUCACGGUUGCCAUCCCAAAAAUAAUAUCUCCCUAUGAAUAAGACAUUAACUCUAAUACCAGUUUGUUAUGAACAACCAAAAUAUAUCGAAUAAUUUUGAUACCAAAUUGUUAUAUAUAGGGGAUGUUUACCCUAAAUAGAGUUAUAGAUAGAAGUAAUGUUCAAAACACGUCAAAAAGUAAAAAUGGACCUGACUUGGAUGAAUAUGAUAGGCUCGAGCUAGCUUCACUGCUCUUGGCGCUUGAGCGCUAGGCAAGCAUAGUUAUGCUAAAAAGCCCUACCUGGUCGAUAUCUUGAUUUCUUCAAGUACAACACAAAUUUUGACUCUCAGUUAGACUUCCAAAUAGAAGUUUAACUAGAAUUUGCAAAAUAGACUUCGAAUAGGAUUUCAAAAAAAAAAAUUUCCAACAAUCAAUCAUCUUCAAAAUAAAAUUCGGGUCAUGCCCUAAUUCUAACAACAAACAUUCUCCUAACUUAGUUGAAAAAAAAUUCCAACAAUCAAUCAUCUUUAAAAUAAAAUUCGGGUCACGCCCUAAUUCUAACAACAAACAUUCUCUUAACUUAGUUUAUGUAUAUAUUUUGGUACGAUUCAUAAUGAAUUUUAACAUUGAAUUUGUUGGAAUGCAUCAACGAAAUUAUCUAAAAAUUAAAAAAAAAAUUCUUUAAUAAGAUCUUCCAGAUGCUCACGUGUAUGUUAUACCAAAAAUAGAUGAUUCAAAUUUUUACCUAAAUUCAAUGAUCAAUUCUUUAAUUAAUUAUGAAUCUCGAACUUCUAACUUUUUGGAUUAGAAACUUCCAACUUUUAAUUUCAAGAAUUUGAUGCUUCAAACCUCCAAGUCUUAUAUGGUAUUUCCAAAGUCAACACCAGUCGAUGGGUACCUUCUUUUAAUUAAAUCAAGAAACUAAUUCUUGAACUAGACACCUAAAUAAAGUAGGAAAAAUAAUUUUCUCUCUCUUUUUCUCUUUCUAAAUUUGAACAUUAUGGAAUUAUGUAUUAUGAUUGUUGUACAAUUUCAUAGGAUGCCUAGUUUCCAUCUAAUCUCUAUUUAUAGAGAUAGAAUAAUUACAAUCAUUGUACAAUAAUAAUUCCACAUUUAAAUAAGAGUUCUAAUUAAAAUUCAAAUAAGAGUUUUAAUUAAAGUCCAAAUUCAAUUAUUUUACAUUUAAUUGCAUGUGUAGUCCUAGAACUUUAAUUAUAAUUAUAAUUAAGUUUACAACAUUUAUAGUAAUUACAACUAAGUAUAAAACUUUAUUAUAAUUACAAUUAAACUCAAAAUUAUUAUAAUUAUCCUAAUUAAGUUCCAAUACUUUAUAAAGUUACUACAAGGACCUAAUCGGACAUUUAUUAUCCAAGUUCUAAUAAUUAGAUAAUAUCUAGUCAACCCUAAUUAUUAGCUUUUGCUUUUCCAUUAAAGGUAAAAGACCGAACUUUUGGAAUAUAUAAGAUCACAGAAACUAAUAAAUUAAUAAUACAUUUCUUUGACCUGCCAUAUAUGUAUUUUAUCUCAAUCUGAGAUUUGAUAAUUAUACGAACAUAAAUGAUCUUUUUACCCUUCUAGUUACUCUCACUAUCUUAAGUACCAUUUUCAAUGGUCCUGUGAACUAAUCAUAGCUAUCAAAAUUUAAUCAUCCUAAACACUGAGUUGGAAUUUUAACUAUUCAAGAGAAAAUAUUUAAUUAGUCACUCUACCUAUUGUUCAAGAUGAACUCAUGUUCUCUACUCCAUUCAUUCUCAAAUUUCCAACUCAUCAAGAUAUUUGACCAAUCAAAUUGAUCACAUCCUUGAUAAAUCAAAGAACCAUAAAAUCACGAAUAUAUAUAUAUAUAUAUAGUCAUGUCAAGAGAUUUAAAUGAAAUACACGGUGGUUAAGUGAAAUUUAAUUCUUCGCACAAUCAUGCUAUAGAAUUAAAGUCGACAUGUAAUCAGUUUAAUACAUUCGAAAUGUACUAGUGUCACCUUGAACUAUUUCUGUGAUAAUAACAAAUCACAAACUUGAAAAAUAAAUCGGUCGACACUACAACCUUCCAGUACAAGGUUGUAGGCACUUUAAUUUGCAUGCUCAAUAUAAAUACAUGUAAUAAAUAAAUAAAACCACAAUUUAUUUAUUAUAAAUUAUCAUUUUAUCAUAGCAAAAUAUACUAUAUGAGCACACAAUCCAAGAGAAUUAUUAUGAGAUGUCAUAAUAUAAAGAAUUAUCUCUUCUCAUAAAAAUAGAUUAAAUAGACAUUUCGUUUUUUUCUUGAGAAAUAUGAUAAUAAUUUGUGCAAUUUUGUAUCAUAUAUUAAAUAUAAAUGGUAUAGAAAUGAUCUUCUAUCCACGAUGGGUAGGAGAUAUAAUAUCCCCUUGCUAAAGUAGCAUUAUCAUGUCGGCAAAUCAUAUCUUUUUACUUUUAUAAAGUAAAAAAUGUACGAUUCAAUUGUUUAUGUGGCGACACCAAGCCUACGGUAGGAAAUUGUUAUCCUUUCCACUGUAGUCAAGAAUUAGCUCUAAAAAAUUAUGUAUAAACAAAUAUUUUGGGCAUUUAGUAAUAAAAUUAUUGAAAAUAAUUUGCGGUACGUUUUCUUUUGGGCUAAACUUUUUGCCACGACUUUAGUGGGUUCCAUUAUCUAAAAUACUAAUCAUUCAUUUAAGUAUGAAUGCAAAAAUGUUUGAAGAUCAUUUAAAGGUCGUUCUUCAUUCCCGUCAUUGGUUUUAUUUCUUUACCUUGAACAAUCUAAACAUUGGUUGAGAUACUUCCAAAAAUUAAUUCAAGAUCUUCAUCUCUAGUUAAGAGUUGUACAAAGAUAUUAUUGAUCUCUUUACCAACAAUCGAUGAGUGUCCAUCUAAGUAUGAUAGAAAAAAUAAAUUAUUAGUAGCCUGGAUAGUGAAAACUAUUUUCCCAAAAAUGUAAAGUGUAAUCAAAGAGUGGCCCAAAAGUGCACAAAAGUUUGCUAAAAGAAUUUGAUGCUACAAGUAUAUAUUUUCCAAAUAAAGUCACUUUAUUUUAUAAAUUUACUAGAGAUGCUUAGUUUAACUUUACAAACUCAUUAUAUGCUUUGAUUAAACUUUAUAAUAAGUAUUUAGCAUGGUCUGAAUCGAUAAUUUACAAGAGAAACGUUAGACUCAAAAUCGAUCCUAAACCAUUAUGCAAAAGCAAAUUUGAUCGAAAAACUAAAAAUUCCACGAAUCCAAUUCAUACCUCCGGCCAUUUAUAUUGUUCCAAACGCUCUCAUUCUUUCAGGUAAUGGCACUUCCAAGCUCUUAACACUCUAAUUCGAUGGUGUGUCUUGUAUUUUGGGUGGUUGAGCUUGGAGAACAAAAUCCAUCCAUAUAUAUAGCCAAAUUUCCAUCAAGUUAUGGCUAUUGUUACCUUCCAAUCAAUGGAGAAUUGAAAAUGUUGAAAACUGAAUAAUGAAUGUGGACUAUCAAUUGCCCCAUCAAUUGUUUGUUGAAGAAAUGGGAAUGGAUGGACCAGCAGAUAUAUUCUCCCAUUUGGUCCAUGCAUUCAACCCAAUGUUUCAACUUAAUCCCAUCAAUUGUCUUUCUUAAGAAAUAAACAGAUGAAUCAUGGCAAUGAGUUCUCUAAUAAUGAGUAUCAUCUUCUAUGUAUUAUGAUGCAUUUAGUACCUUAAGAAUUUUUCUGUAUAUGGUAACAAUACUUAAUGAAAAGACCAUACGUCUUAUUCUUGGUCCUACAAGAAUAUAAUCUCUCAAAUAAAUAAAAAGGCACAUUAAUAUGAGAAAACAUCAUGGCAAAUAAGAGUUUUGUACAAAAUAUGUUUAUACCAUUCCAUAUUGGAACUAAGUCCCAUUUUCUCUACAUGAUCCUUGAAUCUCAAUGUGGCAUGCCUUUAGUCAAAGGAUCAGCGAUCAUUAAUUCAGUGUUUACGUGCUCAAUGACCACUUUUUUUCUUUAAUGCCUUCCCUUAUGACUAAAUACUUAAUGUCGAUAUAUUUAGUUUGACUACCACUUUUGUUGUUCUUAGCCAUAAAGACAGCAGCUAAAUUAUCGUAGUAAAUUAUUAAUUGCCUAGAAAUAGAAUUCAUAAUUCUAAGACCAGAUAUGAAACUCUUGAUCCAUACACCAUGCGAAAUAGCCUCAAAACAAGAAACGAACUCAACUUCUAUAGUGGAAGGAGCAGUUAAGGUUUGCUUGGUACUCUUCCAUGAUAUAGCUCCACCAUCCAUCAUAAAAAUAUACCAUGAUGUUGAUUUACGUGAAUCAACACAUCCAGCAAAGUCUGAAUCUGAGCAUCCAAUCAUUUUUAGAUUAUUCGUUCGUUUAUACAUAAGCAUGUAAUUUUGGUUCCUUGAAGGAACCGCAUUACUUUCUUUGCUGUUCUCCAGUGGUCCAUAUCUGGAUUACUUUAAUAUCAUCCUAUAAUUUCUAUAGCAAAUGUGAUGUCAGAUCUUGUGCAGACUUAAGCAUACAUCUGACUUCCGACAGCAAAAGCAUAUGAAAUGUUUUUCAUUUGUUCCCUUUCUAGAUCAUUUUUUGGGCAGUAGCUCAAAUUGAACCUAUCACCCUUCAUAAUGGGAGCUAUACUUGGUGAACAAUUCUUCAUCCAGAAUCUCUCUAAAACUUUGCUGAUAUACGUUUCUUGAGACAAACCCAAAAUAACUUGUAAUAAGUCUUUAUGAAUCUUAAUGCCAAUAACAUAAAAUGUCUCAUCCAUAUCCUUCAUAACUAAAUGUUUAGAGAGAAAUUAUUUUACCUCAUGCAACAAACACUUAUCAUUGGUUACAAGUAAAAUAUCAUCUACGUAUAAAACAAGAAAAAAAGAUCUUACUCCCAUUAACCUUCUGGUAUAUAUAUGAUCCAUGUGAUUUUCAACAAAUCUAAAUGAAGAAAUUACUCCAUGGAAUUUUAAAUACCAUUGACGUGAUGCUUGCUUCAGAUCGUAUAUAAACUUCUUAAACUUUCAGAUCGUAUAUAAACUUCUUAAACUUACAUACCAAGUGCUCACCAUCAUUAGAGAAAAAUCAUUUAGGUUGUUUCAUAUAAACCUUCUCCUCUAAAUCUCAAUGCUGUUUUUGUAUCCAUUUGUUGUAACUCAAGGUCAAAUUGGGCAACCAGUGCCAAAAUAAUAUGUAGAGAAUCUUUCUUAAGUACUGAAGAGAAGGUCUCCAUGUAAUCGAUUCCCUCAUUUAGAGUGGAUUCCAUAGCAACAAAUCUUGCCUUGUAUCUUUCAAUAUUGUCUAACGAGUCAUUCUUAGUCUUAAAGACCCAUUUACAGUCAAUAGCUUUGGCACAACUAGGCAACUCAAUAAGACCCUAGACUUCAUUGCUCUUCAUGAAACUCAUCUCUUCCUUCAUGGCACUGUAUCAUAAUUCUGACUCUUUACAACUCAUGGCCUAUGAAAAUGAUUUGGGAUCAUUUUUGGAUCCAAUAUUAUAGUCAGGUUCUUCUAGGUACACUUCAUAAUCAUUAGGAAUUGCUGACCUUUUGGUUCUAGUAGAUCUUCUUAACGUUGUACCAUCAUCUUCCUGAUAAGCUCAUGGACAAACUAUUUGUUGUAGAGGUUCUGGUAAUUCCUGAAUUACCUGAUCUACUUGAACAUUGUCAGUAGCUUGUGAAAUUCUAAUGAUUGGUUGUUCGACACCGUUUAUUCUUAAGGGUGUUGUGAAACUAUAAUCAAUCUGUCAUCUGAGGUGGGAGGUUGAGAUUCCAAAUGAUCAUGCUCAGGAACUUUGUUCUUAGUUUGAUCACUUCCACUAAUCAAGUCAUUCUCAAGAAACUUAACACAUCUUAAUUCCACCAUCGUAGUGAUGUGAGAUAGACAGUAAAAUCUGUAUCCUUCAGACCUUUCGACAUAUCCAAUGAAAUACCCACUAAUGGUCCUUGGGUCCAAAUUCUUCUCUUGUGGGUUAAAGAUCCUCACUUCAGAUGGGCAUCCCCAAACACGCAUAUGUAUCAAACUUGGUUUUCCACCUUUCAAUAAUUCAAAUGGUGUAUUUGGGAUAGCCUUAGUUAGAACUUGAUUUUACUAUAUACACUGUCAGCUUAAGUGCUUCAGUCCACAAGAAUUUAGGAAGAUUGGAGCUACUAAGCAUGCUUUGCACCAUGUACAAUAAUGUUUUAUUUCUUCUUUUUACUACACCAUUCUGGUCUUGUAAAUCAGGCAUGGUGUAUUGGGUAACUAUUCCAUGCUCUUGGAGAAACAUAUCGAAUGGACCAGGUGCUUGUCUACCUUAUGUUUAUUUAUCGUAAUAUUCUCUACCUAGUGGUGGAUGAGCUCGGCUCUCGUUCGUGGAGAGCCGAGCUCGUGGCUCGUUUUCAACGAGUAGAGCUUGGGCUCGACUCGUUGAAUUUGGGAGUGGCUCGUCCGAGCUCGUGGGCCGAGCCGAGCUUGGGCUUGUGGGCUCGUCCAAUUUUAUUUUAUUUUUUAUUCUUUAUUUUUUUAAAGAGUUCUACAAAUAAAUGAAAUAAUAGAAAACACUUUUAAAAAAAAUAAAAAGUGUUAAAAAAAAAAAUUUAACGAAAAUAAUUUUUUAUUUUUUUAUUUAUAUCACAUUGUAAUACUUUUUAUAAAGUAUAAAAUAUUUAUAUAAUAAAGACGAAUUAUUUUUUGAAAUACGUUUACAAAAAAUAUAUUUUUUUGAUUUCUUUUUAAAAUAGAUAAAAUGUAAACCCUCCUCCUUUUUCUGAGCUUGGGACCGAUUAUAUCAAUUUUAAGUAGGUGGAGUUAAAAAUUGUACACAAACAACUUGUUGUAACGUGUAUAAUUGUUUAAAAAAAAUUAAAUUUAACUAUUAAAAAAUAAAGAAAUUUUGAUUAAUAUAAUUAAAUCAAAUAUCACUUACCUGUCGACAUGCAAUUUCAGCAUAUUUAUCUUGUAAUCGAAAAUGAGCAUCCUGCCAAUUUUUCACGCACAUUAACGCUUCCAAAACAUCUUCUUUCAGUCGGCUCCUGACAUCGGUCAAAAUCCUUUUACUUGCACUAAAAGCAGACUCCAAAGCAACAGUGCUAACCGGAGGUAUCAGAAAAUCUUUCGCAAUUGCAGAAAAAAUUGGCCAACGUCUUUCAUACUUUUACCAAAAUUCAAUUACUUUUUCUGAACUUUUUUUAAUUGUUCUAUCUGUUGGCAUAUUAUGAUUGAAGUAAUCAACUAAUUCGGCAGGCAUCGUCUUCCGAAAGUAGAUGAACACAUUACAGUUGCAUCAUAUCUAAAUGUAUUAAUGCCUUGAAAUAAACUCAUUAUUUCGACAUCGUCUUCUUCAAUUUCAGCAGAAGGAGUAGGUGCAGAGGGUACCCGACUAACAUUCGCAACCAUUUUUUCCGCAUAUAAGUCAUACAUUCCACAUAAUAUUUGCUCUAAAUUCUUAUAGGUGGUAGGUGUAUCAAGUAUUAAAACUUUAUUGAUUUGAUCAAUUACGUAUUUAGUUCCGGAAAUAUUAUAUCGAGGGUCCAUUGCGCAUGCAAAAGGAAAUAACAUAGGCAGUUUUUCCCAAUAUUUUCUAAACUUUAAUUCCAUAGAAAUUAUAAUUUCACUAAAAGCAGGAUCAUUUAUACAUUUAUGGAAUGUUCUUGCAAUUAUAUAAAGGCGUUCAAGCACCAUAAAGCUUGUGGGAUAAUAAACGCCGGAUAAAAUCUUUGUGGUCUCAUAAAAAGAUGUCAAAAAUCGUUUAACUUUCAAACCUAAAAUCCAAUCAGAUUCAUUUAACAUACCAUCGUCAUCACUUCUAACGUGUCUGUUGUUAUAAAAGUCAAUUAUUAAAUUUUUGAAACCUUCACAUGACUUUAAGAGCAAGUAAGUAGAGUUCCAUCUAUAGCCUAAGUCGCUAACAAAUGAUUUAGUAGUCGUCACCCCUAGUUCGACACAAAAAUCUUCAAAUACUUAUUUUCUACUAGGAGAGAUCGUAAUAUAUACUAAUACAUUCCUAAUCCUUUGAAGUUCAUCAUUUAUAUGUUUUAAACCAUUUUGCACAAUUAAAUUCAAGAUAUGACACACACAACAAAUAUGAAACAAAUACCCACCAAAAUCAGGUUAAAGUGUCAUAUACAAUUUGUCGACGACUACCUUAUUAAUACUAGCAUUAUCAAAAGUAAAAGAUCGAAUUUUAGUCUCACAAUGAUAUUCUCUAACAAUACUGAUAAUAGUAUUAUAUAUAUUAUUAGCAUUGUGAGGAAAUUCAAUAAUUCUAAAAGUAAUAAUUUUCUUAUUCAUGCACCAAAGUGGGUCUAUAUAGUGUGCGGUUGCAGCUAUAUAUACUCUUUUAUUAACCCCUUUCCAUAUAUAUCAGAAGUUAAAGAUAUAACACCCCCAUAUCGUUGCAAAUUCAUAAUUAAUUGUUGUUUUGAAUAAUUGAAAAAAUUUAUUGUAUCGGCACGAAGAGUGUUUUGACUUACCCCAAUGUACCUCGGUUGUAGAUAGACGAAGUGUUGGUUGUCUGUAAUAGCCAGAGGCAACUCAAUGGUGGCAACAAAUUUCGCCGUUCCGGUUCAAGUAUUGUCCUCCGAGUACACCCACGUGGAUAGGGGUGAAGUUGUAGAACCAACGCCUGGACUGCCAAAUUACAAUUGUGUUUGACCAGCAGGAAGAAGUCCAUUUCUGGUUGCACAUGCUUUGUAGUGGCGGUUGAGAUGGGUGGUACCAAUUCCUUUUUACCAUGCCAAUCUUUGUUGGCAGUAUUUACCUACUGCUUUAGAUUCUACAAGGCCAUCGACGAAUUUUCUCGUUGAAAUCAACUUAAAAUGAUCCCGACAUUUUACUUGUUUUUUGGCCUUUCACUUUUCCUUCGCAUCUGGGAUGUUUAAUUCAGCAUCUUCAUCCUCAUGUUCCACUUCGAGAACGUUAAUAUCAUCCAAAUCAAUUGGAUUGUGGUUUCUCUGAUCGUGAAUGUGAACAUCUUCAGGUAUCAGUAGGUCAUUUAGAUCGACAAAUUCAUUUGGAAAUUGACUUUGCGGCGUCCUAGGCGAUUCACCAUGAUGUGGCCCACAUCCUGUAUCGAACAAGCUUUCAACAAAUGAGCCUUGAUCCAUUUGUUUGAUUGUUUAUGAUGAAAUCUUAACUAGAAGAAUAUAAAUGUAGUGAGAAUGUGAGAAUUGAGAAUUGGAUAAAUUGAAAUUAUAACUAAUAAACUGUAAAAAUUGAAUUGAUAUUGUAUAUUUUUCAGUACAUAAGAGUAAAAACUUGAUAAUUGAUUUAAUAAAAGAGAGUUGAGAGAAUUGGAGUAGCAAUUGAUAUGAAAAAAAAAUCUUUGGGGGAAGAGGUAUUUAUAGUAGAGGGGGGGGGGGGAUAAAUUUAAAUUUUUUUUUUUCAGUGACCGAAACGGUCACUUUUUUUAAAAAGUGAUCAUUUGGUCACUUAACUUUUGUGGGUCAACGAGCUAACGAGCCAUUUGUGGGCUCGCCCACGAGUGGCUCGCCUCCCGACGAGGCCUGCUCGGCUCGUGCUCGGGCUUGUGAUUUUACGAGUCCGAACCGCCCACGAGCCCUAUUUUCACUAGCCGAGUUCCCUUUUGACAUCCCUAUCUCUACCUCUAUCUGAUCUUACGAUCUUAAUCUGCUUCUCAUAUUAUUUCUCUACUUUACCCUUAAAGGUUUUAAAGGCAUAUAAUACUUCAUUCUUAUUAUGAAGCAAGUAGAGAUAUAUAUAUUGCGAGUAAUCAUCAAUGAAGAUGAAAAAGUAUUUCUGACCAUGUAAGUCCAUGUCUGGACUACAUAUAUCAAUUUGUAUAAUUACUAAUAUGUCCAAACUCCUAUUGGUACUUUUCUUGGACUCAUUGGUCCACUUUCCCUUAAUGCAAUCUACACAUAUGUCAAAAUCAGUAAAAUUUAGAGUACUAAGUAUCACAUCAUUCACUAAUCUUUUCAUUCUAUCUAUAGAGAUAUGUCCUAAUCUUCGAUGCAACAACAUAGAUAAGUCUUCGUUGAUAUUACACCGUUUAAUGCCAAUAUGAACAUGUAUUGAACUAUAAGUAAUAUUAUCUUGUAAAUUAAUAUGAUAAAGACCAUCAGAAAAAGUACCAUUCCCAACAAAUUAGAAUUAUAUAAUAAACUAAAUGACGCGUUGAAAAAUUAAAGGAAUAUCCCAAUGGUACAAGUCUAGAAACGGAAAUCAAGUAUCGUGAAAAAUUUGGAACAUAAAAUGUCCUAUCUAAUUUCAAAACAAAACCACUACUUAAAGUUAAAUUGCAUCUUCUUAUAGCCUCCACACGUGAGCCAAUCUUGUUUUCGGAUAAGAUAUUUUGCUCGCUUCUCACUGGCUUCCUUAGAUUUUGCAGACCCUAUAAGGAAUUUGCAACAUAGAUUGUAAAUCUAGAGUCAAUCUACCAUGUGUUAAUAUUUACAUUAACUAUAUUAGAUUUAUAACAAACAAAUGAGGUUGGAUUACCUUUAUCCUCGAGCCAUUUCUUGAAUUUGGCGCAAUCUUACUUCACGUGUCCUUUCUUUUUACAGAUGUAACACUUGGCCUCUUUCUUAAUAUCAGCUUGGGGGUGGGAUUUUACCUUUCCCUUUCUGAUUGGCUUGAGUCUUCCCCUUCCCACUGGUUGUACUUAACAUUGCACUUUCACCUUGUUCCAUUAUUAGUCUCCCUUCUUCUUGAAUACACCGUCAUCAAUUCACUAAUUGACCAUUUAGCUUUAUGUGUGUUAUAUGAGAUUUGGACAAGUCCGUACUCUUGUGGGAGACUAUUCAAGAUGUAGUGCAUAAUGAAGAAUUCAGACAUCUCAACCUCGAGUUUCUUAAGUUGAGCCGUAAUGUCUAUCAUUUACAUGAUGUGCUUGUACACACCUUUCACAUUGGUGAGCCUUAAGGAUGAGAACUUCAUUAUAAGGAUGCUUAUCAGUGCCUUAUCUGAAGUAACGAAUUGGUCUUCUAUGGCCUUUAUCAAGUCCUGAUCUGGUCAUGCUAAUCGAUGGAACCACGUAUAUCAGUAGAAAUUUUAGUCUUUACGAACAUCACGCAGAAGCGAUUAGAUCGUUCCCAUUUUUCGUAAAGCACGAUGACUGCAGCAGUGCUGGUUUGGAGAUUUUAGGUAGUUCGUCUUUUCUCAUAGCAUAAUCAAUGUCCAUCCCCACUAAAUGGAGAAGAAUUCUCUUCUUCUAUACUUUAUAGUUGUCAUCUUUUAAUUCGGGAAUAUCACAAUGAAUAUCAGAGAAAUUGGCAGGUUGUGAAGCUGCAUAAUAUUAAAAAUUCUUAUGUUAACGUGAGGCUUAAUUGAAUAGAUUGUAUGUUUUACCAAUGUGAAUCAUGCUGAAUUUGAAUAUAAUGAGAUAAAAAUUGCCCGUGGGCUAAAUUUUUAAUUCAAUUAUUCCUCAUCAUAAAAUUAUCAAAUUAUGCACUUAAUUCAUAAUUUGUUUAUUAUGAAAACAAUUUGAUAUUCUAUUCCAAAGAAUGUUUAUAAUAAAACUAUCAAAUUAUAUAUUUAUUCAUAAUUCUUGUGGGUAAACUAUGAGAUAAUUUGAUAUUUUAUUCUAAUUAAUUAUAUAAAUAUAACAAAAAUUCCUGUGACAUAAAAUUCAUUAUAUUAAGUAUAACUAAUUACAAUUUAACGUCUUUAAUCCUUAUGUGAUCCCAAUCUUAAUAUAUAAUUUCAUUUAAUUAAAGAUGUUGUAGCUAAUUCUUAAAUAAAUAAAAUUAUACUAAUCACUAGACAUUAUCCUUUUAUGCAUAAACAAUAAUAGCAUAAUUAAAACUAACAUCUUAUGAUUAUGCACAAAAUAUUCUCAUAGACAUUACAAAAUUGCAAAAUAAUUUAAACAUAAUUAAUUCAUGCAAACUAAAUAUGAGCAUAAUUCACAAUUUAAUACAUCUUAAAAUUUCAUACAUUAUUCCAAAAAUAAUUAUCAUAUGCAAAAUUAGAAUUAAUGCCUAAGAAUUAAACUGCAUAAUUGGCCCAUAAAUAAAAGUGGAUGUUUGAAUUCUAUAAGUUGGUCCAACGAAUAGUGUAGGUUAUGGCCCAAUUUAUAAUUACAUGAGUAAAACACACAUUAUGAAAAUAAUAUGGAUUGUGGUCCAAUAAAUAAUUGGAUAUGAUAAUCAAGCAGGCCCAGCAAUUGACUCAAGAGAAAUGACCCAUUUAACAUUUUCAAAAGCCCUUACAAAUAUGGCCUAAUUAAAAUGGUUAUGAAUUUUAUUAUUUAUUUAUUUUUAUAUGGGCUUAAGACCAAUAACGAUUCGGUUAGAGAAGACAGAGUUUUGCAUAUUACUCCAUAAACAUCAAGAUAGAGGUUAGAUUAUACUCUGAUACCAAAUGUUAGACAGAAAAUUGAUCCUAAACAAUUAUACGGAAGCAAAUUGGAUUGAAAAACUGAAAAUUCCACGAAUCGAAUUCAUACCUCCAGCCAUUUAUAUUGUUUCAAACGCUCUCCUUCUUUCAGGUAAUGACACUUCCAAGCUCUCAACACUCUAAUUUGAUGGUGUAUCUUGUAUUUUGGGUGGUUGAGCUUGAGGACCAAAACCCAUCUAUAUAUAUAGCCAAAAUUUCAUCAAAUUAUUGCUAAUGUUACCUUCCAAUCAAUGGAGAAUCGAAACCCCAUGAAUGUUGUUUGUAAAUGUUGAAAACUGAAUAAUGAAUGUGGACCAUCAAUUGCCUGUUCAAGAAAUGGGAAUGGAUGGAUUGGCAGUUGCACGAAAAACUCCGAGUUAAAUCUCCAUUAAUUUAUUCAUGAAAAAGUUCUAAAUGAUUUAUAAGUUAGAGUUAAUAAGGAGAUAUAUCGACUAGUGGUCCUUGUCCGUGUGUACACGUGUUGGAUUUAGAAAAGUGUUUGUUCCAACUAGUGCUCUAAGUAGAAGGUUGUUCAAGAUAUUGGUUAGACUAAAUAUAAUUGUUCAAUUGAAGAUUAUAAAAUCGAUUAAGUAGUAUUGUACAAUUAUGGGUACGUAGUUGUAUCGAAGAAGGGGGGUGACUUGAUCAUUUUACAAAACUUAAAGUAGCUUAUGGAUGGGAAGGUCCCUAGAAGGCCUUGAAGUUUCCCUCAUGAUAGAAUCUUGAGAUGGAUUUGAGCUAAGUUUUUGGAGUUCAAUUUGUUUCCACAAUAUUUGUAGUUUAAUAUCUGAAUGAUUUGAGUUGAAGAUGAGUAGAAAAAUCAAUUUGACUCGAAUUAUAGGCACCAAAUUUAUCUAUGCCAUAACACAAACAAGAGACUCGAUAUAUCCUUAAUGCUCUCUUUAAUGGAGUCAUCAUGUUUAUUAAUUAUAUGUACAUAAAAUCACAGGUUAAUUUGGAAUAACAUCGGAAAAGUACAUACUAAUUAAGGAGGCAUAUCUUGAUUAGAGAUCUUGAACAACAAUUUGAACGAAUCAGACCGUAACUAGAGUUCUUUGACAACAAUUUAAAAUGAGUAUUUAAUUUAAUUUCUUGCAACCAAAUAAAAAUCGUGGAGAGGAAAUGUCCCUUUCGUAUAGAGGGUGGGCUUCGAAAAUCCAACUAUCAUUCUUCCGAAUGUACUCCUAAGACAAUAUUGAUAUUGAUCCACAAGUUCAUUUACCUAAUCAAAUAUAAAUGAAUAUUUCAUACUUUUUAAUACCAAAGUUUUAAAUUAAAUACAACUUUAUUAUUUAGAAUUUCUCAAACUAGCUCACAUCCUUCAUAUUUCCAAGGGUGAAUAUUUAAGUAAAUAAAUUUAUAAACCAUAAGUUGAAUUGAAUGCCCACAAAAGCUCAUCGUUUAUUUCGCCAAAUUAUUAAUUGACCACCAAUUUAUUUGUAAUACAGGAAAGUGAAUUCCUAAAAAGGAAUAAUUUGGAGGUUGUAUUAAUUGCUUAGGUCAAGUUUUGUGCAUUGUAUUAUAAAUAAUAUUAUUUGUAAGCUAUGCUUAAAAAUAGUAGUCUAUGUGACAGUAGGAUCACUAUCACAUUCUUCAAUGAAUUAAAAUAAGAUCAUUGUUCAACUUAAUUUCCACAAAAGAGUUCAAAUUGGUUUCUACCAAAGAGCUUAAGAAAUAAAAGGAAAUAAUUCCUUGUUCAAUUGGAAUCCUUUUCUCACAUGACCUUUGUUCUUCAUCUUCUAUUAUUUUUCAAUUAAGUCCUCAUCAUUCCAAAAUCAUAAUUGUUGAUCCAAGACAAGUUUCGAAGUUUACAAUUUACUCCUCAAACUUUCCAAAUAUCGAAUUUCACCCUCGAAACUUCAUAAUUUUUUACUGAAUGCUCCAUGAAUAUUUCCAAUUGAUCUCAUGCAAUCCAGUUAAUAUUCAAUUGCUUGAAAUAAACUCCAAUUAAGUUCCAAAUAACUUCUUUUAUAUAAAUUGUAUUUAAGUUGGGAAUUUUCUACAAUUAACAUAAUUUAUACAAAUUAAGUAGAUAAUCGCUCAAUUUAUAUAUAAUAACUUAAGAAUAGAAGUCCGAAUAAGGACAUAAAAUGCACUUAUCAAUAAUACUAGAUAUUUCCAAGAUUUCAUGUUGUUAGCCACUUCAAAAAUACGACUAUGGAUUGUAUUACGCCAAGACGUGCACCCCCACUCGAAUCUCUCUCAAAGUAACUCUAGCCUCUACCAGUAACCUCAAGACCAUGAUACCUAUUCAUUAUACCUAAGCCAUGUACUACAGUAGCCCUUGCUUAUUUGGUCCUUCUCUAGGAUUAGUCGAAUACUCUGAAUUGUAACAAUAAGCUCCUCCCACCAUAUUUUUGAAAAGAACACUAUUAUUCACAUAUGAUUUAUUCCCCUUUGUGUGCGUGUCUUUGCAGUUGUCACUAUUUUAUCGGUAAUUUUUAAGUUAUUCAAGUGUUUUCUUUUGAGGGCUUAAGUGUAACAAAUUUCAAGUUUAUCUUUACGGCAGUAGUUUAGAACUGGAAUUUUGCUACUUGAACAGAAUUUUUGUAUUGAUAGGUGCGUGCAUCUGUCAACUCAUCUAUACAAAAUCAUAUCGGUACAAGUAGAAUGAUUCUUAGAGUUGACAUGUCUCAAUUAUCCGAAAGGACAAUCAAAUCCUCCUUUUUCAAGUCCUAAUUAUCAGCUACCCUCAACACCACCUCCUCUAUUUAAACCCUUAACCCACUCCACACAAUUCUUCAAACUGGAGAUUAUGUUGUCUCUGCCCUCUCUCUAUUUAUCUGUCUUCUGUCCUAUUCUCAUUCAAAUCGCAUAAAUUCCUUGGAAACAUUUUGAAAGCUGCCCAACAUUUCCAUUUUCCAGUUUUAUAUAGACUCUUGAUUAAUCGUUGUAAUCUUUGUAUGCCACCACCAAUGGAUACUACUUUUGAUGAUCUAUUUUCCGGUCGAUGCAUACUGGUAAAUGGCCCUGUAAUUGUUGGGGCAGGUCCAUCUGGCUUAUCAGUUGGUGCUGGCCUUAAACAAGAGGGGGUUCCAUUUGUGAUCCUUGAAAGAGCUAGCUGCAUUGCCUCUUUAUGGCAAAACCGGACCUAUGAUCGGCUUAAACUUCAUCUUCCAAAACAAUUCUGCGAAUUACCGUACCAUCCAUUCCCAAAAAACAUCCCAUAAUACCCCACGAAACACCAAUUCAUCGACUACCUUGAAUCAUAUGUAAAAAAAUUUGAUAUCAAUACUAGGUUCAAUGAGUCGGUUCAAUCUGCCAAAUUCGAUGAAACAUGUGACUUAUGGUGCGUUACGACCCUUAGGAAUGAUGAUUCGACUAUAGAGUACAUUUGCAGGUGGCUCGUGGUGGCUACCGCAGAAAAUGCUGAAAACGUUGUGCCCGAAUUCGAAGGGUUACAAGAAUUUGGCGGCAGUGUUUUGCAUGCUUGUGAUUACAAAACAGGUGACGCUUAUCAAGGAAAGAAUGUACUAGUUGUUGGCUGUGGAAAUUCAGGAAUGGAAGUUUCUCGUGAUCUUUGCCGCCAUAAUGCACUUCCAUUAAUGGUGGUUCGCAGCUCGGUCAGUCAAUCUUGUCUUUCUUAUUUUACCUCGAAUAAUUUACAAACAGUGAACAAGAUUUUACCAUUUUUUCUAACUAAAAUGCGUAGGUUCAUAUACUGCCGAGGGAAAUUUUUGGGAAAUCGACAUUCGAGUUGUCAGUUAAACUAACGACGUGGUUGCCAAUUCGGGUUGUGGAUAAAACACUGCUAGCAGCUGCAAGAUUAAUCCUAGGAAAUGUUGAAAAGUAUGGGCUUAAGAGGCCAUCCACUGGUCCUUUAAAGCUGAAGAACACACAAGGGAAAACCCCUGUCCUGGAUAUAGGUGCCCUUAAACAGAUUAGAUCUGGUAAAAUCAAGAUUGUCCCUGGAAUUAACAGGUUUUCAAGAGGGAAAGUUGAAUUGGUCAACGGGCAAAUUCUUGAAAUUGAUUCUGUCAUUUUGGCAACUGGGUAUUGCAGCAAUGUCCCAUCUUGGUUAAAGGUUUGAGUUCUCCCCUCCCCCUCUCUCUCUCCCUCUCUUUUGAUGUAUAAGAAGCAAAAUCCUAUGAAAGUUGGGUUCCUUGUAGAUUCCAUGUUCCCAUGUCUGAAAGACUGAAUCUCGUCACUAGUCAGGUUGUUGGGAUAAUGUUCUGUAUAUAACUAUUAUUAUUUUUAUAUUGGACUUAAUUCAAAAUUUUGACAGUACUGCUCAAUUAAUGUACCAGACGUACAAUAUGAAUACAAUAUUUUCUUCUCAAUUAAUUUUUCUGGGACAAAAAAUAAUUUAUUCUUUCAUCCUUUUUCCUUCUCCUGGUGCUUGUUGUUCAACAUUAUUUUAAUUUUAUCUAAUAUAAGAUGUACUUUCGGUCGAGAAUAUCUAAACUAUUCAAGAAUUCUUAUUUGGACACAUUGUAACAAAUAAAUUCAUUAAGUCAAGAUUUUUAUUAUUUUCUUUUCAUGUUAUGCAGGAAAAUGAGUUCUUUUCAAGAGAUGGAUUUCCCAAAUCGAACCUACCAAAUGGAUGGAAAGGCAAAAGUGGGAUAUAUGCAGUUGGCUUCUCAAGAAGAGGCCUCUCUGGUGCAUCUUUGGAUGCCAUUAGAGUUGCACAAGAUAUAAGCAAAAUCUGGAAAAAGGAAAUUGUGUGCAAUAAAAAGUGCAAAUCCCAUUUCUACUUUAGGCCAAACAACCCUUUAGCGCAUUAAUUAAGAGUGUUUUCUUGAGGGCUUGUAGAUUUGCUUAGACAUGAAAAUAAGAAAGGUGACACUUGAAUCAGAGCGGCCCUCUUCAUAGAAGUUAGUCCCAAAAUUUUUUUUGGGCAUUUUUGUACAAAAGGAAGAUGAGGCUUUUCCAUUUUCAGUGCCAAGGGAUUUGUAUAAAUAAGUUGAGUUGUUCGACUAAAGUUAAGUAUUUCUAUUUCAUUCUCUCAAAUUGGUCCAUCUAGUAUUUUCUUAUUCUAUGCUAAAAACGUAUAAAGCGCAUAAAGCACAUGAUGUCAAAUACUACAUAUAUUUUAUUGUUGUCAUCAAACUUUAUUCGCCAAAAAAUCGAAGUAUAUACUAAAUGAGCUACUUUUUCAAGUUUACAGACAAAUAUAUUUAGCAUUAAAAAUUUAGCUCGACUUUUUACCGAUUUAUGGUCCCACUGAAUAUUGUGAACCAUUUAUCCAUAAUUCCCAAACGUUAAUACUCUAUUUAAAUGUGAAAUCGACUAUACACUUAACUUUUAUUAUGUACAUAUAAAUGCUCUAGAGAGACCAUGUUGAUUAGCAUAAGCAUAGCGCCAACAACAUUAAUGAAGAACAGUGGAGAAUUGUUUAUUCGAGACAAAAUUGCAACAUAAUUGACAAAUCGUGGGAACACAAGAUACUCUUGGAAUAAAAAAUAAAUAAAUCGUGCUUAAAAUCAAAUCAAAUUGUUUCUAUGCAUGUACUUCACAUUAUACUCAUUAAAAUAUUACAGAUUAAGAGGAAAAGUAAACAACUUUCUUCUGUUAAUUUGAAAUAUGGUUAAAUACCACGUACAAAAGCCACGUCAUGGUAGUUUCGUGAUGUUAUACUCGGUCCAAGAUAUUAAGUCCCUCUUUGAUUUUGCUGAAAAUCAGAUCUUUUGUAAAUUUGGAUAAAAAUUGAAAGAAUGUGCAGUUGCAGAGUUGAUAUAAGUUGUGAACCUCAUGAAUAUACAGUUGAAAUUAAUGGUUGACUUUAACUUAGUUUUUUUUAUCAAUAUUUUAACUAAAUCAACCGAAUAGUAAACGAUUACAAUCGCGCAAAUUGCGCAGAAAAUGAGAAAGCGUCAAUAUACACACAUGAAAUAUGUGUCUACUCAACUUUUUACCCAUUUAUUAAAAGUAGUAAUAACUUUCUUUUAGUUGUUUGAAAUAUGCUUAAAUAUCAUGUGCAAAUGCCACGAUUGUAGAAAGUCAAUUUCACCAAAUAUAUAGAUAUCAUAAGUUCCAAGGAACAAUCUGAUGGAUAAGACAUUUCAUUCCUAGGUGAAAUCUCCCAAAAUCUUUUCAUCUUCUAAGUCAAAAACAUACAACCUUCUUCUUUAUUACUCAACUUUAUCCAUUUCUCCGAAAUUCUAAUUUCCAAACAAAAAGGUUAAUCUCUUCAAUGUUAUCUUCACCCCCGUUUGGGCCACAUUAUUUCUCAUUACAUUAAAUUAAAUUUUUCUCUCUCAUACUUUUAACCACACAAUCUUCAAUAAAAUAAUAUUACACGUAACUCAAAAACUUUUCAACCACUCAUUUUUCAAAAAAACACUUUUCAUCUCAUUAUAAUUUACAAAACACUUUUCUUGUAUGGUUUGAAUUCUUGAUUUAUUUCUUUAACAUUGAACAUCCUCAUCAACAAGCUAUAUGGUAUCUGGUCCCUUUUUAGUUAUGAAAGUAAUUCAAUGUGCAAGGUAGUGCGCUGAUACAAUAAUUUUAAGUGAAUAAAUAUGUUCCUUCUUUGAACAACUUGGAUUUUAAAAUAAGGUAAUUCAACACAACACCAAUGUAGAUACAGAUACCAAGUAUUGGCACUUAGGGAUGACAAUUUGAACUGUCAAAACCGAAAAUCGUAAUUAACCGAACCGAAUAGGGCGAAAAAAAUCGAACCGAUCGUGCAAUGGGGUGGAUAUGAUUUUGAUUUUAAUGAACCGAUUCAUGGUGGUGCGGGUAUGGUAUUAUGCCGUCGAACUGAAACCGAACCGAUUAUCCGCUUAAAAAAAUGAAAAAAGAAAAGAAAACAAUUGAAUUGAUUAUUGGGCUUUAUAUUACUUUUCUAUCUAGAUCAAAACAAAAUACACCCCCAUUACAUCUACCUAACUCAGCCUGCCAACCCACUUACCAUUAGCCCAUAUUAAUCGCAUUAGUAUGACAAUAUAUAAAUGCAAACCCUACUCUCCACAAACCACAAACUCACGCACGGCUCCACUACCUCUACGGUCAAAGUGUUCUUUGAUCAUGUAAAAACAGAGUUCGAUAUUUUUCUAGACGUGCCAAUAUUGCCAAGGAUGGAUGAUUUUAAUUUAUUGUCAUGGUGGAAAGCAAAUUUAAUAAAAUAUCCGACUUUACAGAAGGUUGCAAGAGAUUUAUUAGUCAUUCCAGUAUCUACUGUGGCAUCCGAGUCAACUUUUAGUACAAGUGGUAGAUUUGUGAGUUCAUAUAGAAAUAGGCUUCACCCAAAGACUUUAGAAGCUUUCAUGUGUACUUGGGAUUGGCUUUGGACUAAUAUUCAUGGUAGGAUUUAUUGUUUUAUAUUUGUUAUUUAUAUACUUUCUUUUAUUGUUAAUUUUUUCUAUUGUAUGUAGAAAAUUCUACUCCUUCGUCAUACUCUAGAGCUUGUGCAACGUUUAGUGAGAAGGAAGCUGACGAAGAGUUACAUUUUUUUUAAUUUAAAUCUUAGUUAAGACCAUUCUGGAAUAGGUAGUAUCGUUGUAUUCUCUACUUACAUUUCUUAUUUACUAUAUAGGAAUCAACUUUGAAUGCUGAUCUAUGCUAGUAAAAUUUAAAGGGAAGAAUGAAUCAAGUAACUUUGAUACACAAUAAUUAAGAGUGAAGGAAAAGUUUAGUAUUGUUAUAUUUAUAAUAUAGUUUGUUAAAUUUGUAUUUUGCAAUUGAAAAUUAGGAUAAUGUUUGCAUUUUCGUUUGGAAUAUUGCGUUUUUGUUUUCAUUGAUUUUUUUUAUAAAUUGUUUUAUAUUAAUUUGAUGGAUGAACCUAUAAAAAAUAAUUUAUUUUUGUGGUUAUUAACCGAACCGAGCCAUGCCGAAUCGAGAAACGGACCGAACCGAUUUACGUGGUUAUGGUGCGGUUAUGGUAUGGUCAAAAAAUUGGUGGUGCGGUUAUGGUUUUGGCCGAACUGACCCAUAACCGAACCGUUGCCAACCCUAUUGGCACUAUCCAUUUACGACCCUGUCUAUACAUAAGGAGCUUUAAAAUGUAAAUAACUAACUACGUUUACUUUCUAAAAGCUUACGUUUUAGAGGAAGCAAUUCAAUAUUUCAUAUAUCAUUUCCACUUUAAGUUUCAUUUCUUUUCCUUUCCCAAUUCUAAUUUUAUUACUUGUACCUUCACAACAUAUAGCUUGAAAUUCUUCCCAAAUUUCUAGAUUUCCAAAUUACAACAUUCUCAACCUAAAGGAACAUUCUAUUUGAUCCCUAUGAUAAAACCUAGUUCACAAUUUGCCAGCCCCUCCAUGUUAAAUUGGUUUAGAUAUCAACUAUAGAGAUCAAACCUAAAAUCUGGUCAACUAACCAUAAGGGGGAGGAUGACAAAAAAAUAUAUGUAGCAGGAAUCAAGUUUCUUGAUUGAAGAUGAACAAUAAAAGUCUAAAUGCUUAUUCUCCAUUUUCAAAGGGUCGGAAAAAAGGGGGGAAGAAAGAAUAGAAAAGUAAUCCAUACAUGGGACAACCCACAUGAGUUCCCAUGCUGUUGAUUCAACCAUGCAUAAAACCUUUAUCUUGUUGUGUCCAUUUAGAUUUGAAUCACCACCAGUCACAAAUAUACCAAAGACAAACAAAAAAGUAAUUUUGGACCCAAGAGAGAAAGGAAUGCAUCGGGACGAUAAACAAGAAAAGUACAUUUUGAAGAUUGGAAGUAGUUAUUAAUUCACGGUACAGAAUGAAAACUUCAUCCUCAUUGAAACCAAUACUUUAUUACCAAGAUGAACAUCAAAACCACAGCUCACACUUACCAACUUGCUUCAUCAAACUACGUUUUGAAAUUUGCACUUCCAUGAGCCAAUAAUGUCAUGGAAGAUUGUGGCUUAUCAGAAAAAGACAUGAAAAGUACAAUUGUACUUGUGUCCUUUUCCAUUGGAAUUUCUGAGUUUCGAAUUUUCUCUCCUUUAUAACAAACUCUGAAAAUGUCCUAGUCUAAUACUGUUACCAAGAAAGAAACACACAUGGGGUGUUCACCAACUGUAUCUCUACUUACUAAUGAAGAAAGCCCAUUCCCUCAUGUAGUGAUGCACCUUUCAUUCAAUUUCAGUGUUUAACUGGUGGAUUGUAGGCAUUGUCCUAGAGGUGUCAAAAACGUGCCAGGAAGCCCGAAGCCUUCAUGCAGUACAUGACCCCGCGCUACAGUCGGACCUACCUAAAAAAAAAUCUGCAAAUUUAUCCAAAUGCAAUUGUACGGGUCCCGGCAUCUGGCCAGGUAAGGUUUACACUUCAACAUUGUUCAAUCUUCUUAUCCUAGUUCUGUAGGGCUCCCACAACAAUGUGAGGCAUAAGUUCUCAUGGUACUCUUGUCCUCACCUGCUUUCAGUAUAUCGGUAUUCUACUAAAAGCUAUACAAACAAUACAGCAGGAAUGAACAAUUUCUUUGAGAUGGGCAAACUCCGAGUCAUUUGGCUCGAAAAUUACACUAGGUGGCAUCAGGAUCUGAAUUCACUAUUCACCAGUCUGCAAAGAACCUAUGAGCACAUAACUCUAAAAUGUAAAGUUCGUAGUCACACAAAAACUAACUGCUUUCAGAUAGUUUUAUAAACCUGCUUGAGAAUGGUUAAAAGUAAGCCUUAAAAUUUUACCCCUAACAUCAAUUGGAGUUCAAAUAAUCAAUGUUCAUUAAUUAAUGUCAGAACAGCAUCAAGUGCCAAUUAAUUCAAUAUAUAACUCAAAGCAUGAUAAACUAUUAAUGAAAUUCGAUAGCGGCAAAUAACAAAAUCUUUGAAUAGAAUGUGUUGACCCCAAAAAGUGUUGCCAACAGAUGCCGAUCCCACCUGCUAACACGCGGGCGAAUGUCCAACACGCUAAGACACGUGGACGAUCUAAAACGAGCAGUUCAAAAGGGCGUGGGAGUAGUCCAAUGACGUGAGACAGUGACGUUCGGAAUCCGGCGAGUUGUUCGUGAUCCGAUUGUACAAUAAUUACCAACCGGUGUUCGUAAAUGUUUAUGUAAAUAUGUGUAAACUUGAUUUUUGUAUUGCAAGUAAAUGAGAGAUAAAGAGUUGAGUAAAGUGUAGUUCUUUUUAUUGAUUCUUGCCUUAGUCUCUUGACGUUACACAAGGAAAGUAUUUAUAGUGAUACAUGCGAAAUGGGAGCCCUUGGAUGAGGUGGCACGUGGUUUCAUCUCUUUGAUUCAAACAUCUUAUCCUAGGUAGGGGGCUUGACUUGCUAGCUUGCUGCACAUUUAUUGUUUGUGUAGAGCUUCCAUGCUAGGGACAAGACUUGACCUUUAUGCUUAUGACAAACGUUCCAUCAAUCAUUUGAACAAGAUCUUAGUGUAGACGAUCUCUUGGGAGAAGUGAUUAUGGAGGAUGCUCCCAUGUGUUUCGGAGGCUUCUGUAUCAGCUUCGAGGCUUUGGCCAUUCCAUACAAUACUUCCACUUGAGGGCUUCAGCUAACUUCAACCAGCUUCAGCAUCAUGGCUUCGGCUCAUAGGCCUCAACAUGUGGACCUCGGUUACUCUCAUAGGCCUCGAUAAAGGGACAUGCCUUGGCUGGUGGACUUCAACAUAGCCCACCUCGGUAAUAUAUGCAAGCUCGGCUUGAGUGCCACGUGGUUCGGCUUGAGUGGGCCAUUGGCCCAGAUAGGUUGGCCAAGUAUGACAACACUGAACAAUAGUCCCCCAAGUCCAAGUAUAGAUAUUUAUAUCAUGGUUGGAGUUAGAGAUGUGCUGCUGUAGGUGAAUGAUGAAGAGACCGAGGCUGCGUUGAAGAUGAGGCCAAGGUGGUUGGGAAAUCGAACCUAUGAGGCUCGUUGGCUGAAUGUUCGAAGUUGAAGUCGAGGUGAUUGGGAAAUCAAACUUAUGAGGCUCGUUGGCGUCAUCAGCCGAGGCUCAAUGGUAAUGAUUGUGCGUCGAUAGUUGUGCCAAUGAUUUGAUGUUUUGUGCUUGUUUUCGAGAAAAAGUGGCUGGUCCGUACGGCUUCCAAGGUGCCUGCUGCCGUCGAAUUAAAAACACAAUUAUGAGGAUAGCUGGAGGAUCUAGAAGCAGACGCGUUGGAUGGGGUACGUGGAAGGCACGUUCGAAUCAGAGGCGUAGGUUUGAAAAAUCGUUGGAAUUCAAAGCCUUGAAUUUGAUCUGCAAUAGAGGGUUUAGAUUGGCUGAGUUUCGAUCUAACGGCUGGGGUUCGCCCUGGACCUCUAUAAAGGGUAAGAAAAUCCCAUUUUUUUAGGACUUUUGAAAAUUUGCAAUUUGAUUCUCUCUCAAAUUCCUGAACUUUCCGGCGUCAAGGCUUCCCGAUUUUUGAUUUUUCAACCUAUCUCCGGUCACGUAGUGUUCUUCCCUUAUGUAUUAUUCGCAGAAAAAACCUUUUUUUUUGUUGUGUCGAUUCUGUAAGAUGGAGUCCACCUCGGGUAGGGAGUUGGUGACGGUUACGUCAUUAGAUUAUGAGGUCAGUCAGAGGGGAGAUGCCGAGGCUGAUAGUUAUGCCAUGACCGAGGACCCAGUAGAUUAUACUGAAGAGUGGGGGCCGUCUAGGGUGCCCUCAGUAUGACGUGGAAGAGGUUAGGGGAGAUCAGGGAGAGAUACAGUGUCCCCCACACCAUAGAGAUGCUAGUUCCCGAGCCAAAUGAGCGGGCCUGCUAUCCGAGAUCCGGAUGCGUGACAGUCAGUGAAUACCUAUUUAAGGCAGGUAUGCGUCUUCCUCUACACCCUUUCUUUAGGGCGGUAUCGAGGAAUUUUAUGUCGUCGUCGACCCAGGUUCUGCCAAACGGGUAGAGCCAGUUGGUCGGCUCAUACUUCCUAUGGAAGGAGAUGUCACUUGGAGAAGACAUGCCUCUCCAUGUAUUCAUGACUCUUUUUCAGCCCCGGAUCAUAGGGAAGGAGUCCAGGGGGUGGUAUUAUCUUACACCUUGGGGGCUCACGCACCCUUUGUGGUGGGACCGCCUUCCUCCAUUAAGGGGUGGAAGGAGUCCUGGUUCUGGGUGCGGGGAAAAUGGCAGACAGUGGAGGGGGACAAGGCCCUUUCUUACACAGUGCCAACCCAAUACUACGAAGCUCGUGAGUCUCCCAGCUCCUGUUUGUAUUUCUGAAUUGAACACUUAGAAAUUUUCUAACUGUUGGGGCUCCAUUGCAGAUUGUAGUACGAGGUUCGAGCUCAGCAGGGAAGAGUUUGAGGUGAUAGAGGACAUCUACAAGAGGCCUCUGAAGCUCCGCCACUUUGACCAUCUGAUCGACAGGAGUCGCUACUUUUUGGAUUUUGGACUAAUGGCUUCCAGAGGUACGAGGUUCCCAUAGUUGUAAAUUUCCUUGUCUUUUUGAUUGGAUAUUGAUGUGCUGACCUGACGCUCUUAUGCAGAUAAAUUCAAGAGGAGGGAGUACCCAACUCCAGACAUGGCUACAAUUUUGAAAGUCACCACCACCGCCAAGGCUAGGGCCUUGAAGUCGGGGUCUAGUGGGGCCAAGGAGGUCCGAGGCAAGAUGGAAUGCCUUUCCAAGGACAGUACUCCAAAGGCUUCUGAAGAGGUAGCUUCCUAGAUGCAAGAGAGGCCAAAAGAGCCUCGGGGGAAAGAGAAAGUGCCAGAGGAGGCGAAGAGGAGGAAGCUAGUGCACGUUACUAGCUCGUCUGGGAAAUUUGGGACAUCAGUGUCCCAUGAGGCCAAAUCAACAGGCGAGCCAAAACUGCUCGCAUUUGCCUCCAAAGCCAUCAAGUUAGAAAUGGUCAGAGAGGCUGAGGCUGAGGAGGCUGGGAGGAGGGCUAUUGAGGCUGUCGAGGAGGAGGCAGCUAAACAAAAGCCUGUUUGGGAAAAGGGGAAGUCUCCAAGCUUCCUAGCUGGAAGGGAGGAGACCUUGGCCCCAACCUUGGUGGAGGCUCUUCCACAGGAGGUCCGAAGCGCCACGGAGAACUUUUACCGAUUCUGGACGAACAGGUGGCAGCUGCAUGCCUCCUCCUGCGAUGUCUCCGACCUGACGAGGGUGUUGGUGAGCCAAAGCGUCAGAACUUUUGGCCUCGCUCUUGAAUGCAGGGAGGCCCUGAGUGAUUUUCAAACAAGGACCAAGUCUUCGGAGGAGAAGACGACCUCCCUUGCAGAGGAGUUGAAGGCGGCUAGGGCCGAGGUGGAGGAAGCCAGGGCCCAAAAACUCGAAGAAAUGGCCAAGCUGGAGUCUGUUUUGGCUCAGAUUGAGGCCUUGAAGAAGGAGGUCCACAAGUCACAGUGCGAGGUGGCCUCUCUUACAAGGAAGGUGGAGGUCUUCAAUGAGCACCAGAAGGUGACCGCCAAGGCCCUGGAGAAGGCAAAUCUCUCUUUGACGGGUGCCCAAGAAGCUUAACAUUUAUUGGAAACCCAAGUCAAGUGGUAUGUGGAUGAUGCAUCCCAUGCCAGAGAGGAGGCCCAACAGGCGAGGGAAGAAGUGGUGCAGGAGUACGUUGCCAACUUCCACAACACAGACGAGUAUAAGAGCUUCAGUGCAUACUGGAGAAACUUUUCCUAUGCUGAGGUGAUGGAGUGAGCAGAGGAACUGUAUCCCAAUUUUGAUCUGACCCAACUCAAGUCUAAAUUCGGGGAUGAGGUACCUCAGACACCUACUAUGAACGUGCAGGGUAAUGAAGCAGCUGAGGUAGGAAAGACAAAUGCCGAUGCUCAAGCUGCCGAAGCCCCAAGUACAGAAGCACCUCCCCCAUCUACCCAAACUUUUCGAAUGUAAUGGCCUGAGGCCCACUUUUGUAAUUCUUUUUGAAGAUCAAUAUAAUGCCUAUUUCAUUCAUUUUUCUCUUUGUAAUCCUUGUUGAAGUGUACGCGCCUCGUUAAGCAAAUGAACUGAAAAGUUGACAGAAGCACCAACUAAAUAAUUCUAACUUGGUGCCUUAACUUCAAUUACUUUAAACAACUGGAUUGAACGAUUGUACGGACCUCGGACUUAAGAAAUGAACUUUACUUAAGCAUAACAACUGUAUGAGCCUCGGACUUAAGCAAAUGAACUUUACUUAAGCAUAACUACUGUAUGAGCCUCGGACUUAAGCAAAUGAAGAUGAACAUAAUGAGCCUCGUAUUUAAGUGAGCCUCAAUUGCAUGUCAGGCGGCUUCUCCCCUUGGCGUUUGGUCUGGCCAAAGGGAGGCAUGUGCUAGUGCCUCGGAGUUCAAGCGAGGUGGCCCAGAGGUGGGAAGCGAGCCUCUCCUCCGAGGUGACGACGCAUCCCAGACAUGGUGGAUGGUGCAGCCAUGUUGAGACUUCUCCCCUUGGCAUUCUGUUUUGUCUGGCCAAAUGGGAGGCAUGUGCUAGCGCCUCGAAAUUCAAGCGAGGUGGCCCAGAGGUGGGAUGCGAGCCUCUCCUCCAAGGUGACGACGCAUCCCAGACAUGGUGGAUGGUACAGCCAUGUUGAGGCUUCUCCCCUUGGCAUUUUGUUUUGUCUAGCCAAAGGGGAGGCAUGUGCUAGCUCCUCGGAGUUCAGGCGAGGUGGCCCAGAGGUGGGGACACGACCCUCUCCACUGAGGUGACGACGUAGUGUAACACGUUAAUUUAAUCACUGAAUUUUAUUGAACCAUAGAAAUGUUACAAAGGCUGGGAAAGGUCGUCCAGCAAGAUAGUACAUUCAUUGGUAGUAGAUUCUGAGGUGUUCAAUAUUCUAUGGACGGGGUUGUGCCUUACCGUUCAUGUCUUCUAUCUAGUAAGUCCCAGGUCGGACUUCUUCUCUGAUUUUGUAUGGACCUUCCCAGUUUGGGCCAAGGGAGCCGGAACCAGGUUCUUUUGAGAAAAGGAAGACCCUCCUAAGUACAAGGUCGUUGAUUCGGAAUGACCUCUUCUUGACUUGCGAGUUGAAGUAUCUUGUCCUCUAAUAUGUGCCGAGCUUCAAUUGGGAGUCAUCUCUUCUUUCUUCGAUGAAGUCGAGGUCGAGCCUCCAAAGCUCAUCAUUUGUUAUCUCGCUGAAGUGCAAACGUCUUGGGGAUGGAAGUUCAACCUCCAAGGGGCUCAUAGCCUCAGUUCCAAAUGCCAUGAAGAAGAGCAUUUCUCCUAUUGGAGUCCUGAUGGUGGCUCGGAUCGCCCAAAGGACUUGGGGCCUCUCAUCAACCCAGGCCCCUUUUGAUACAUCAAGCUUCCUUUUCAAGACAUACUUUAUCGUCUUGUUUACGGCCUCAACUUGGCCAUUUGCUUGUGGGUGGUGAGGUGUGGAAAAGUGCUUCUUUAUGCCGAGCUCUUCGCAUAAUUCUCUAACCUUCUUGUUGUCAAAUUGUCUGCCAUUCUCUGAGACAAUUGAGUGGGCAAUUCCAAACCGGCAAAUAAUAUUUUUCCAUAAGAAUUUGGAGGUGUUGGCUUUAGUGAUUUUUGCCAGUGGUUCGGCUUCGACCCACUUCGUGAAGUAAUCAAUAGCCACAAUUGCAAAACUUACCCCUCCUCUACCUUUAGGUAGGGGACCUAUGAGGUCCACACCCCAUUUUGAGAAAGGCCAGGGGCCAGAGAUGGUGGUAAGCUCCUGCGGUGGUUGUCGCUGCACCGGAGAGAAGCCCUGGCAUUUAUCGCAUUUUAGUACAAACUCGAGGGCGUCCCGCCUUAGUGUAGGCCAGUAGUACCCCUGCCUCAAUAUUUUUUGUGCCAGAGAUAGACCUCCGGAGUGGUUGUCGCAUAUGCCCUCGUGGACUUCCCUCAAUAUGUAGGUAGCCUCUUCUCCUCCGACACACCAUAGGAGUGGAGAGGAGAAGUUUUUUUUAAAGAACGUCAUCAAUGAAGAGGAAGUGAGCUGACCUCCUUCUUAGCUUGUAAGCCUCAUUCUUGUUAGUUGGCAGUGCCUAGUCUUUGAGGUAUGCUACGAUUGGUUGCAUCCAAGUGGGAGUCCCAGUAACCCACAUCACAGUUGGGGCCUCGAUCGAAGGUAGGAGGAGGUGCUCAAUAGGUACUACUGUGAGUAGCUCUGAGUCCUUGCUACUAGCCAGCUUCGAUAGUGCAUCAACAUGCACAUUUUCGAUGCGGGGAAUUUGGAUCAACUCAAACUUUUCGAAGGAUGGGAUGAGGUUCAUCACCAUUUUCAGGUAGGAGGCCAUCGUUUUGUCUUUGGCUGAGAAGUUACCAUUGACCUGGCUAACAACCAGUUGAGAGUCACUACUGAUGAGUAGCCUCUUUACUUGCAUUUCGGUGGCCAGUCUGAGGCCCACAAGAAGUGCCUCAUAUUCUGCUGUGUUAUUGGUAGCUUUGAAUCCGAACCUCACCGUCGAGGUGAGUUUGUGACCUUCGGGGCUGAUGAGGACAACCCCAGCGUCGGAGUCAACAUCCCUAGCUGAACCAUCAACGAAAAGAUUCCACUUGGGGGGUUCGGUAGGUUCAAUGAUUUCAUCCACCUCGGGUAGGUUGGCGAAUUCAGCCACAAAGUCAGCUAAGGCUUGCCCUUUUAUGGCUGCCCUAGCCUUGAAUACAAGGUCAAUUUUACUGAGUUCUACCGCCCAUUUCAAUAACCUUCCAGAGGCGUCAGGCUUUUGAAGUACCUGCCUCAGGGGAAAAUUUGUCAGUACAUGGAUGGUGUGAGCUUGGAAGUAGGGUCUCAAUUUCCUAGAGGCUGUAAUCAAAGCCAAAGCGAGCUUCUCCAUGUCGGGGUAACGGGUUUUCGGUGAUAGGAGCGCUUUGCUUGUGUAGUAUACGGGGAGUUGGGUAGACCAUUCUUCCCGUAUCAAAACCGAGCUGACGGCCUCAUUGGAGACGGCCAAAUAUAGUUGUAGGAUAUCACCGGGCUUAGGUUUGGAGAGGAAAGGGGCUUGUCCUAAGUGCCUUUUCAAGCAUUGGAAGGCCUCUUCACAUUCCUCAGUCCACUGAAAUUUCUUCCUGGCUUUCAGUACUUUGAAAAAGGAGAGGCAUUUGUCCGUAGCUUUGGACACGAAGCGGCUAAGUACGGCCACUCGCCCGGUAAGACUUUGCACCUCCUUUGUCUUUUGGGGGGACCUCAUCUUGCAUAGAGCUUCGAUCUUCUUCGGAUUGGCUUCAAUUCCUCGUUGGUUGACCAUGUACCCCAAGAACUUGCCGGAGGCUACCGCAAAGGCGCACUUGAGGGGGUUGAGCCUCAUCCUAUAUCUUCUUAGGAUUUGGAAAGUGCUGUUGAGGUGCUUUAUGUGGUCCUCGGCCUCCAAAAUUUUUACUAGCAUGUCGUCCACGUAGACUUCCAUUGUUUUGCCAAUGAGGUCCACAAACAUCUUGUUUACGAGUCUUUGGUAGGUUGCUCCGACGUUUUUCAACCCGAAGGGCAUCAUUCUAUAACAAUAGAGGCCUCGGUCCAUAAGGAAAGAGGUGUGCUCUUCAUCGGUCGGGUGCAUGGAGAUUUGGUUGUAGCUGGAGUACGCGUCCAUGAAGCUCAACAAUCAUGCCCAGCCGUGGAGUCCACUAGUUGGUCAAUCCUUGGGAGUGAAAAGCUGUCUUUCGGGCAAGCUCUAUUGAGGUUGGUGAAGUCAAUGUACACCCUCCACUUGCCGUUGUUUUUCUUUACCAAAACCGGGUUGGAGACCCAUCUAGGGUAGGUUGCCUCCCUGAUAAAGCCAUUUUGGAUGAACUUCUGAACUUCUUCCUUUAAGGUCUCAUACCUCUCAAGACUGAUGGCUCUCCUUUUUUGUCUAUGUGGGGCAAACUUAGGAUCGAUUUUUAGGUGGUGGCAGCUGACCUUGGGGUCUAUGCCCACCAUGUCCUCAUGCUUCUAGGCAAAGACAUCAAGAUUCUUGCUCAGGAAAUCCUUAAUCUUUUCCUUCAGAAUGUUGGAUAGGCAUUUGCCUACCUUCAGCACCUUAGAUGGGUCUCGAGGGUCUACCGUGAAGCUCUCAAGUUCCUCUACUAGGGAUGCCUGAGGCUCGUAUUCCAUGAUGCGGGGGUCGAUUUCAUCGAUGACCAGGGCCUCUAAAUUAGGUGGUGCAUCGAUCAUAUCAACAUCUUCUUGUUCGGUGGGACCAUCACCUAGGACGUCAGCCAUGACCACGUCAGUUAUGAUUACAUGGAUGUCCCGGGGCUCUACCUUCUUGAUGGAGGUUAGAUAGCAUUCUCUCAAGCCUCUUUGGCCGCCUCUCACCAUUGCCACCCCAUUUUCUAUUGGAAAUUUCAUGCAUAGGUGGUGGAUGGAGGUGACUGCUCCUAGUUCCUUUAGGGCUAGUCUGCCCAACACCCUAUGGUAGGUCGACCGGUUGUCGACAAUGAGGAACUCAAUGAAGUUCAUCAUUGUUCGUGGGGAUUCUCCCAUCUCCACUACUAGCGUUAUCUUUCUCCUCGGAGUGAUGCUAUCUCCAGUAAAUCCGUACAAUGGAGUGGUGGUGGGUGUCAACUGAUGAUCCAAUAUCAUUUUAUCAAAGGUGAAUCCGAAUAGAAUGUUGACGGAGCUGUCGUUGUCAACUAAUAUUCGUUUGAGCCCAUUCCUGGCUAUGACAGCCCUCACCACAAGUGCAUCGCAAUGGGGGUAAUGAACUCCCUUGGCGUCUUCCUGGGUAAAUACAAUGGGUGGAACCUGGUUCCUUCGGGAGCUGCUACCCACAAUGUAGCUUGUCAAAGGGGGGUGUUUAGCCUCCUGAGCAUAGUUUCUUUUGGCGUUUCGUGUUUCACCGCCAACAUACGGACCUCCAAAUAUGGUGUCCACCUCGUGGAUAGGGGCUUCAUCUCGAGCUUGCCGGUUUCUUUGGUGCCUACGCCCUUCCCUAGGCCUCUCUGCAUCAUGCUCCCUUCGCCGUGGGGAUACAUCCCUUUGAUGGGGAGUGGCCUCCUCACGCCCACGUCGAUUGUCGUGCCUGGGUGGGGGCCUGUUCGCCUGGGGUGAAUCAUGUCUGUCUCUAAUGGGUUUCUGCCGGGAACGUUGUGCAUAGUCUCUACAAUCCGCUGUGUCAUGCCCGUAGGACCUGUGGUGUACACAGUAUCUUGGGGGGUUCGGAUUUGACCUAUUUCUAGGUCCAGAGCCUCGACCUCGGCCUCUCCCCCUACGAGGCAUCUCCCGAGCCCCAAUCUGAUGGGGGUCAGUAAUUGGGUUGACAUCUUCAUAAGCCAAGGUGGGAAACCGCAUUCGAAGUGGUGGUGGCAAGUGCUUGACCAGAGUUCUCAUUUCCGGCCUGUUUCAUCUGGUAGCCCAUCAGGUGGGAGGUCGGGUCUCUACCGCGCUGUCUUUGAGGAGGCGGGAGGCCUCUACUUGCCCUGUUCCUAUGCUCAAUCAAUUCUUCAUUGAUGAUCUCCCUUCUCAUCAUUUCGAGUAGGGCGUCAUAGGUGGUGGGGUCUUAAUUCUGCACGUCUCUCCAGAAUAAGGUAUUCAUGUUCAGACCUCCCCUUAGUGUGGAUAGUACCGCUCGGUCGGUGACUUGUACGCAGUACAUCAUCUCAUCGGUGAAGCGUGAUAAGAAGCUUUUUAGGGACUCCCCAUGUGCUUGCCUCAUGUCCUGGAGACGUUGGAUGGGGGCUUCUCCUUCUUUGCUCACCGCGAACCUCUUCAAGAACGUUGUCUUGAACUCGGGCCAGCUUCUAAUGCUCCCAGGUGGUAAUCUGCUAUACCAAAUUUCAGUCGCUCCACUAAGCGUUAAAUGGAAGGCUCUGCACUUCACGGCUGGGGUGGCGCCCCUUAAGCUCAUGUGAAUUUUAUAAGCAUUCAAAUGCUUCUCCGGAUCGCCUCUUCCCUCAUACUUUGGUAUUUUUGGUAUAACAUAGUGGCUCGGGACCUGGGCAUUCCUUAGUUCUCUUGAGAAUGGUAGGUUCUCAUCGUCAUCGUCCAAGUCGCAGGAUCUCUGCUGUUCAUCAGAGUCGUACUCAUCAGCCUCAUGCCCCGGUUGUUUGUGGGAGGUCCCGGGGAGAUCCCUAGCCUCUUCCUCCAUCCUCUGUCACCUAUUUCUAGGUGGAGCAACACGGGGGGCAUUUUCUUGCCUUCGCCUGUUGGGGCAUUGUAGGUGGAGGAGGCGGCCUUGUCCAAGGCUGUUGAGUCUGCUGUUACCUUAGCCUCGGUUCGGCGGGGCUGAUUCUGUCAAAAACACUUCCUGUCCUCCUAUGUCUUGGAUCUUGCUCAUACAGAGGUGGAAAAUUAUCAUGGCUCAUUUGGACCUCAGUGGGUCAGCCAGAGGCGUAGUUGGAGGAAACAUCAACUUCCACUUCCCUUUCAAAUGGGCUUCCACCUCGGCCAUAGUCUGGCGUAGCAGCUCUAUGACUUUCGACUUCAUCCUCUUGCUGGUAGUGUCCUUGGGGGGCAUAUGGAGGAAUGGGGAAGCCUCCCUGGCCCUGCAUUUGGGCCAUAAGCUCCCUCAUAGCCAAAUUUUGGCUAGCAAUAUCCCUCAUGUUGGCUGCCAUGGCGGCCAUUUCUUUGGAUAAUCAUGCCGUUGGUGGUGGUGGAGUCUCUGCCAAGCUGCUGGGGCAGUGGGCUGAGGAGGCACGUUCGUGUUUUCUCUUACCCUCCUGGGGGGAGUAUAUUCAUUGGAGCUCAUUUUCUUUUGUCAGACUUCAGAUUUCGCUAAGUAAUGGAGCUUCCUCCUAUUCUUUUCCAAGAAAAAAUCCUUUUUCAAGGAGGGUUGCCCAAAUGUCCUUUCAGUAAGCUUUUACCACAAGAUUGCUCGUGGUUAUGGUAUGGUUUCCCACAGACGGCGCCAAUCUGUUGACCCCAAAAAGUGUUGCCAACAGAUGCCGAUCCCACCCGCGCACAUGUGGGCGAACGUCCAACACACUAAGACACGUGGACGGUCUAAAACGAGCAGUUCAAAAGGGCGUGGGAGUAGCCCAACGACGCGGGACAAUAAUGUUCGGAAUUCGGCGAGUUGUUCGUGAUCCGAUUGUACAAUAAUUACCAACCGGUGUUCGUAAAUGUAUAUGUAAAUAUAUGUAAACUCGAUUUGUGUAUUGCAAGUAAAUGAGAGAGAGAGAGAGUUGAGUAAAGUGUAGUUCUUUUUAUUGAUUCUUGCCUUAGUCUCUUGAUGUUACAUAAGGGAAGUAUUUAUAGUGAUACAUGCGAAAUGGGAGCCCUUGGAUGAGGUGGCACGUGGCUUCAUCUCUUUGAUUCAAACAUCUUAUCCUAGGCAGGGGGCUUGAUUUGCUAGCUUGCUGCGCAUUUAUUAUUUGUGCAGAGCUUCCAUGCUAGUGAUAAGACUUGACCUUUAUACUUAUGACAAAGGUUCCAUCAAUCAUUCGAACUAGAUCUUGGUGUAGACGAUCUCUUGGGAGAAGUGAUUAUGGAGGAUGCUCCCAUGUGGUUUGGAGGCUUUGGGUUCGGCCUAAGUAGGCCAUUGGCCCAGAUAGGUUGGCCAAGUAUGACAACAUGGAACAGCAUGUACAAGAGCAAAGAUCAAAUCCACUUCAUCAAGGAAGCUCGCAUGCGUGGGCAGAAAGGUAUCAAAUUUAACAUACAUCUCUCUUUCCAAUAUCUCAUGCAAAAUUAGAGAUUAUUACUCCAACAAAAUCAGAUGACUUCAUACAACUUAUACUGAUGAAGGAAGAAACAAAAGCCUAAAAUCCCUACGGAUAUCCUAUGACCACAUAAAUAUUAGACAUUGAACGAAUAUAUAAAGUUAUAGGUUUCAUGUACAAGAACAAGCUUCCAGCUUUCAUUCCCCAAAAUUUUCAUUUGGAAGAAACCAUCUGAUCAAUCUCACCAUUUUGGUUGUACAUAGACGCAAUUUUCUUCACAUACGAUGGAAUAUGCCUAUCAGCUCUGCACCCAUAAAUGUUAAAUAAGCACACAAUCAUCUGUGUUCUUCACCAGUUACAACUAUUUCGAGUAUUCGUAUUGGAAGCAUACCUUUGUUUACAACUAGUUAAAUGAAGGUCCCUAAAUUGCAUGCACUGUGAGAUGAUAUUUAGUUGAGGUCUCACAAUGGAAUUUAGACCAACGUCCAAUGGAGAGGAAUAAUAACUUGAAAACCAAAAGCUAAACAAAAGAGUCACAGUCGAAUAAGAUACAUGAAAAGUGUGUAAUUGCAUCCUAUGGACUCAAGAAAUAUGUUAGGCCAAUUGAAGGUCACACAUGAAAUAGAUUACGGGGUUAGAAAGAGGUCACCAAGAAUACAUGCACCCAGGGACGAAUUCAGGAUGUUGAACUAGUACGGGCGACCGUAAUAAAAUAUUAUUGACUUGUUUGAUGUCAUUUUUUGCCAAAAAAAAAAAAUUGGAAUAGUGAUUUAAUGAAGAAUGUGUAGUUAAAAAUAAUAAAAAAUUUCGAAUUUACGUGUAAUAUUAUUUUAUUAAAGAAUGUUUGAUCGAAAAUAAGGAAAAAAAAAUGUAUUCUAAACUAAAUGAGAAUCAAAAAAGGCUUAAAAUUUAAAUAAAAUAAUUAUUUUGUUGAAGUUGAACAUAUAUAAUUUUAUUAUAAGAAUAAAUCGUACUCACCAAAUAACAUUAUUGUUUUAUAUAAUUCAAAGGAAGAGCACGGUAUUAAAAUUUUUAUAAUUGAAUUAAAACCACUAAAAUCUUACAUAUAUUAUUUUGUUAAACCUCAUAGCACAACUCAUCAAGUAUCAUAAUGGUCAAACUUUCAUUAUAUCUUAGAAUAGGUCACAGGUUCAAUUCCCCAUUAACCCUUUCCUUAUUUCAAUGGCUUUUGGUGAAAAUUGUAUAACUAAAAAUUUAUACAAUAAAUGGUGGACAGAUUUGAACCUGGGACAUAAAAUAAACAAAUGCAAGCGCUGACCAACUCGGCUACUAGGAACGGUUGAAAUAAAAGUAACAUAACAGUAAUAUAUCCUAUUGAUUUGUCUAUUCUCAGCCAAAAAAAAAUGACUCCCAGCGGAUCCAGCACGCGCGGCUGCGGGGCUCGUCGGGUGCUGGAUCCGCCAGUGCAUGCACCGGGAGAUAGCUGAUGUUAAAAUGACCGCUAAUACUUAGGUCGUACCAUGGUCGGAUGAAAGACAUUAAGUAACAAGGAUUUGGGACAUUUGAGCGUUAUUAGUGUUCAUUUUGAAAUAAAAGUCACAACUAGUUACUUGAAAGCCACUAAACUGCAUAAUAUUUUCAGUUUAAAUUGAAUGUUGAGGUCACACACGGGAAAUUAUAGUUACAGCUAGAUAUAUCUGAAUUCAGAUUUAAAUUUCCCAUUAUUUUAUUUCAUGUAAGUUUGUUUUCGAGUUUAGAUUUUUCCCAAUUAUUUUCAGGUUAGAGUGCACAUGCCAUAUGAUUAUUUAAAUUAAUAUAUUAAAAAAACAAUUAGGGUUUUCUUUUAGAGGGACAUGUGAUCACAUGAGAUUGACUAUUCAUAACAUAUUUUAUUUUUCAGUUAUUGCAGUUAUGAAGUUAGUUGCAUUACAAUAUAUGCCUUAAUAACAAUUACGAUAGUACAAUGAUCUGAACCAUGUUCUUGGAUAAUUAAUUAAGCAGAAAUUUAGGGUUUGACUCAUCAUUGGGUGAAUGUGGGCAUUUAUUUUGCUUAGAGACUCUAAAUUUUAUGAAACAUGAAAUCUAUUGAAUUGCUUGAAAACCAAGUUUGAAAUCUAUUGAAAAGCAUGAAAAAAUAAAUAAAUAAAUAAAAUUUACUAAUACAUUGAACUCAAAGAAUUGGGAAUUUUGUGUCAAAGGAAACAUUAUUUGAGAAUUUAACAAGUACAUUUUGGACUUGUUUUGUAUGUUGAAUUAUAUUGAACAAAUAAAUAUGUGACAAGUCUACUUUGUGCGAUCAUGUGCAAAUUAUGCACAUGUUUGGGCGCAAUUAUUUUCAAAUUUUAAUUAAAAAUAUGAACGUUGUAACAGUAUACUUGAAUUGACCCAGACGCAAUAUUUGGAAAAAAAAAAAAAGAAUUGACAUUCGUCCUUUUCUAUUUUGAAAUAUGAAAAUUGUCCUGCUUGAGAAUAUUGAAUGUAACAAGUUAGGAGCAUCACGGUCUUUCCCUCAAGAUUUUUAAUUGACUGCAGAUAAAGCAGUCAAAAAUGGUUGGCAUAGUGGUGCCCAUUGAUUGUAGAACGUUCGGAUUCUUAAUUAUGAUUUUGGGAGGAGGGCGCCCAAACAGUGGCUACAUAGUUUAAUCACACCAAGCACGCAUUUUAUAUUCAUAAUCAGAAGUUUUUAUCUCUGGAAGUUUUAGGUGUGUAACCUUAUUUUCUAACUCUUCUAGCCAUCCACAUGUAUUUUGACACUCGUGUUCCUCGUCGAAUGCCUCUCCCAAUAAUAAUAAUAAUAAUAAUAAUAAAAUGCACCGACUUCCUAUUCAGUUUCCAUUUCUUAGAACUUUUUUUUCCAAUUUAUUUUCAACCUUACAUUUAGUAAGACUUGUAAACCUUUCAAUCUUAUAUAUAUUUCACUAAUUUUUAUUAAAAUAUACUAAAAACUUAAUUGUUAUCCAAAAUAAAUAGGGGUUGAAUCUGAAUCCAGAAUAACUUCGAAAUUGCUCAAUCUCUACCAAAAAAUGUAAAUAUUAGCUUUUAAAGACAUGUUUAAUAUGAAAGUUGAGCAUCAUGUAAAACAUGAAGAUGAAUAAAAUUAUGUAUCUAAUAUUUCGUCUAAAAUUAUUUAAUCUAACAUAUUAGACAUGUGGUACGAUGCUCCUUUCAUGUCCAUACUAAGUUAAAAGUAUGCACCAAACGAAGAAAUCAAGAUAUAUUAUCGACGGUUUGUAGUAGCACAAGGAAGAUUUUGGCUCAGUUUUAGGCGCUAAAAUAGGCAUUAGUUACCAGCUUCAUUAGCCGAAUCUAAGUAUUGGAAAACGUGUCAAACAAAUGUGGAAUCAUUAAUCAAUACACUGUACUUACAUUUAUUUAUUUAUUAUUCUUUAUGCUUAAAAAAUAUAACUCACACACGCGGUUUCAAGCCUAAUAAUAAUUUCUUUGACUUUUCGAUAUGUUGAACUCGACAAAUUAACACACAAACAAGAUAAAGAUGUAAAAAAAGUCAAUGUUUUAUAAAUUUAAAAAAAAAAAAAAAAAUAUAUAUAUAUAUAUAUUUAUAUAUAUAUACACACACACACACAUAUAUACAUCUCCUAAGCACCGAUGCUUAGGAGAUUAUUUCCAUAUAUAUAUAUAUAUAACACUAUUGCAAUUUAACAUCAUUCCACAUUUUAGAGAAGGGAAAAAAUGAUAUAUUCAGUUAUAUGUAGAAAUAUAAGAUUUAUGGUCAAUGUCACCUAAAAUGGUAAUUACCACUAUCAAUAAUAUCAUUACUUAUUUUAUCUAAUAUUACUUAUUUUAUCUAAUAACUCCACAUUUUUACGUAAAUUGAUGCUAAACACCAAUAAUACUAUAUAAUAUUACAUUGGAAACCCUUUAUGGCCAAAAUAAUAUUUUGAAUAGUAAUUUUUAGGCGAAUGUGAUUAAACAGUAGGAAAAAGUUUUAGAUUUACUUAUAGAAUACUUUAUUGUGUAAAUAUGUGAUUGAAAAUGAAUAUAUAUAGAAAAAAGAGUGAAGAUAAUGGUUAUCAAACAUGGGCUAAAAUAAACUUAGUAAAUGAUAUUAAUCAUGUGAAAAUGAGACAAAUUAGAUUAUCCUCAAUUAUUGAUUAAAAAAAAAGUCAAAUGUCAAUAAUAAUAAUGCAACAAUUCUUGAAAUCUGUUAGUAAAUGAUUACUAGGUUCAUAAUGUUUUUGAGAAAUUUUGAAAAACGAAAAAAGGGUGACAUAAUAAAAGGCAAAAGUAGUUGGGAAAUUUCCUUAUUUCUCUCCAAAAUAUGGAAGAUCUAGCAGUAGAGUUUCAGUAAUGAAAUGCGUGACUAUGCUGAUAAACGCUUCUCUUGAUAAAGCUAUCGAUAGUUCGCGUAAGUCGAUUCUAGCGGCCACUUUCAUCAUGAAUGUCAAGUUGAAAAUUUUAUGCUUACUGAUGUUUUGGCAUUUAACAGUAUUUCUUACUAUUUUCUUUAAGCAAAAUGGCAAAUGUUUAUAUAUAAUAUUUAAAAAUAGAUUUCAAUAAUUUGAACAUUAUAAAUCAAAAUAACAUUUAAACUCGAAACUAAAUAAAAUUUAUAAAUGAUAUUGAUCCUGUGAAAGAGAAACAAAUUAUCACUGAUUACCGAUCAGAAAAAGUCAAAUAAAAAAUAACAAUGCCACAAUUCUUGAAAAAUAAAGAUUAAAAAAUUGAAAAAAGGGUGACAAGGUUUGAAAGAUAAUAAUUAAGAAAAAUGUAUAUACAGAGAAAAUAUUUUUAAUUCAAGAUAAAAUUGGAAAGCAGGGUUUUGAUUUCCAAAGGAGAUAGAUCUUUUCUAGAUUAACGAAAUUACAGAAUUCCUACCACUUAAGUCCUUGUGAUAAAACUCAAAUGUCAUGAACAACAAAGAAAAUACUGAAUAAUUUCGUUACCAAUUUGUUGUGAUUAUAGACGAGAAAAGAAUAUGACACAAUAUUAAGAAGUUGGUUACAAACUCAAGAAUAAAAUAAUUGGCAGGGGAAUGAAGAUUUUAUUAAAAUAUGGAGAAAGAAUUAAAAUGAUUUUAUGAUUUGAUUUGUCUACAAAAUAUAUAAGGGAUAUUUCAAGCCUAAAUGUAGAGCUACAGACGGAAAGUAACGCUAAAACACGUCAAAAUGCGAAAAUGAACAUGCACUGGAUGAAUAUGUUGCACAAUUGUCGGGCUAGUGCCAGGCAGGUGCCAAAUUCACUGCUUUGGACGCUCGGGCGCCAGACAAGCAUAAUUACCUCUGAAAAGUCCUCUCAAAUCAAUAUCUUGAUCUCUUCAAGUGCAACAUAUUCUAACUCUCAAUUGAGCUUUCAAAUUUAACUUCAACUAGAAUUUACCCAAUAGACUUCGAAUAAGAUUCCAAAGGCAUUCCAACAAAUAGAUUGCUUCUUAGUGUCGACUUUAAUUAAAUUCUCAAUCAUCUUCAAAAUAGAAUUUGAGUCACAUCCUAAUUCUAAUAAAUACCACCUUAACACGAAUUCUACUGCAACGAGUAAAUUUCAAAAAAAUUUCACUCUGGUGACAAAUUCUUGGAAAUAUUCUCCACCUCUACCACAAAACCAAUGGGUUCGAACUCAAAAGCUUGAGUGAUCAAAAUUCCAAGAACACCCUUAGAAACCAAAGGUUCAAAUCAUGAGCAACAAAAUCAAACUUGAUUAACAAUCACCAAGUAAGGUUGAUACAAUCCUGCAACAGAAAAAUCACAAAAUGCUUCAACUAGAGGAAAUACUUAAUUAGUCACUCUACCUAUUGUUCAAGAUGAACUCAUGUUCUCCACUCCAUUCAUUCUCAAGUUCCCAACUCAUCGAGAUAUUUGACCAAUCAAAUUGAUCACAUCCUUGAUAAAUCCAAAAACUAUAAAAUCACGAAAAAGUAUACAUAGUCAUGUCAAGAGAUUUAAAUGAAAUACACAGCGGUCAAGUGGAAUUUAAUUCUUCUCACAAUUAUGCUAUAGAAUUAAACUUGACACGUAAACAAUUUAAUACACUUCAAGUGUACUAGUGUCAUCUUUAAUUAUUUUUGCGAUAAUGACAAAUCACAGACUUGAAAAAUAAAUCGGUCGACACUACAACCUUCCAUUACAAGGUUGCAGGCACUUUAAUUCGCAUGCUCAAUAUAAAUACGUGUAAUAAAUAAAUAAAGCCACAAUUUAUUUAUUAUAAGUUAUUAUUUUAUCAUAGCAAAAUAUACUAUAUGAGCACACAACCCAAGAGAAUUAUGGUGAGAUGUCAUAAUAUAAAGAAUUAUCUCUUCUCAUAAAAAUUGAUUAAAUAGACAUUUUAUUUCUUUUUUUUUCUUGAGAAAUAUGAUAAUAAUUCGUGCAAUUUUGUAUCAUGUACUAAAUAUAAAUGAUAUAGAAAUGAUCUUCUGUCCACGAUGGGUAGGAGAUAUAAUAUCCCCCUGCAGAAGUGGCAUUAUCACGUCGGCAAAUCCUAUCUUUUUACUUUUAGAAAGUCAAAAAAAUACGAUUCGAUUGUUGAUGUGGCGACACCAAGCCAAUGUUAGGCAAUUGUUAUCCUUUCCAUUGUAGUCAAGAAUUAGCUCUAAUAAAUUAUGUAUGAACAAAUAUUUUAGGUGUUAUAAGUAAUAAAAUUAUUGAAAAUAAUUUGCGGUACGAUUUCUUUUGAGCUAAACUUUUUACCACCACUUUAGUGGGUUCCAUUAUCUAAAAUACUAAUCAUACAUUUAAGUAUGAAUACAAAAAUGUUUGAAGAUCAUUUAAAGGUCGUUCUUCAUUCUCGUAGUUGGUUUUAUUUCUUUACAUUGAACAAUGUAAACGUUGGUUGAGAUACUUCCAAAAAUUAAUUCAAGAUCUUCAUCUCUAAUUAAGAAUUGUACAAAGAUAUUAUUGAUCUCUUUACAAACAAUCGAUGAGUGUCCAUCUAAGUAGGAUAGAAAAAUAAAUUAUUAGGAGCGUGGAUAGUGAAAACUAUUUUCCCAAAAAUGUAAAGUGUAAUAAAAGAGUGGUCCAAAAGUGCACAAAAGGUUGGUAAAAGAAUUUAAUGCUACUAGUAUAUAUUUUCCAAAUAAAGUCACUAUGUUUUAUAAAUUUAUAGAGAUGCUUAGAUUGACUUUACAAAUUCAUUAUAUGCUUUGAUUAAAUUUUAUAAUUAGUAUUUAGCAUGGAUUUAAUCAAUAAUUUACCAAGGAAAUGUUAGACUGAAAAUUGAUCCUAAACAAUUAUGCGAAAGCAAAUUGGAUCGAAAAACUAAAAAUUCCACGAAUCGAAUUCAUACCUCCAGCCAUUUAUAUUGUUCCAAACACUCUCUUUCUUUCAGCUAAUGGCAUUUUCAAGCUCUCGACACACUAAUUUGAUAGUGUGUCUUGUAUUUUGUGUGGUUGAGCUUGGGGAACAAAAUCCAUCUAUAUAUAUAGCCAAAUUUCCAUCAAAUUAUGGCUAUUGUUAUCUUCCAAUCAAUGGAGAAUUGAAACCCCAUGAAUGUUGUUUGUAAAUGUUGAAAACUGAAUAAUAAAUGUGGACCAUCAAUUGUCUGUUGAAGAAAUGGGAAUGGAUGGACGGACAAUUACAUUCUCCCACUUGGUCCAUGCAUUCAACCCAAUGCUUCAAUUUAAUCCCAUCAAUUGUCUUUCUUAAGAAACAAACACAUGAAUCAUGGCAAUGAGUUCUCUAAUAAUAAGUAUCAUCUUUUAUGUAUUAUGAUGCAUCUAGUUCUCCAAGAAUUUUUCUGUAUAUGGUAACAAUACUUAAUGAAAAGACCAUACGUCUUAUUCUUGGUCCUACAAAGAUAUAAUCUCUCAAAUAAAUAAAAACACACAUUAAUAUGAGAAAAUAUCACAGCAAAUCAGAGUUUUGUACAAAAUAUGUAUAUACCAUUACAUAUUGGAACUAAGUCCCAUUUUCUCUACAUGAUCCUUGAAUCUUAAUGUGGCAUGCCUUUAGUCAAAGGAUCAGCGAUCAUCAAUUUAGUGUUUACGUGCUCAAUGACCACUUUCUUUUCUUUAAUACGUUCCCUUAUGGCUAAAUACUUAAUGUCGAUAUAUUUUAGUAUGACAACUACUUUUGUUGUUCUUAGCUAUAAAGACAGCAGCUAAAUUAUCGCAGUAAAUUAUUAAUGGCCGAGAAAUAGAAUCCAUAAUUCUAAGACCAGAUAUGAAACUCUUGAUACAUACACCAUGCAAAGUAGCCCCAAAACAAGAAACGAACUCGACUUCCAGAGUGGAAAUAUGGUAUUCCUCCAUGAUAUAGCCAUCAUAAAAAUAUACCCUGAUGUUGAUUCAUGUAAAUCAACACAUCCAGCAAACACUGAAUCUGAGUAUUCAAUCACUUUCAGAUUAUCUGUCCAUUUAUACAUAAGCAUGUAAUUUUUGGAUUCCUUGAAGGUACCAUAUUACUUUCUUUGAUGCUCUCCAGUGGUCCAUAUUUGGAUUACUUUGAUAUCGUCCUAAUAUUUCUAUAGCGAAUGCGAUGUCAGGUCUUGUGCACGCUUAAGCAUACAUCUGACUUUAGACAGCAGAAGCAUAUGGAAUGUUCUUUAUUUGUUCCCUUUCUAGACCAUUUUUUGGUCAUCGGCUCAAAUUGAACCUAUCACCCUUACAGUGGGAGCUACACUUGGUAAACAAUCCUUCAUCCAGAAUCUCUCUAAAACUUUGUUGAUAUAUAUUUCUUGAGACAAAUCCAAAAUACCUCGUAAUCUGUCUCUAUGAAUCUUAAUGCCAAUGACAUAAGAUGCCUCAUCCAUAUCAUUUAUAUCGAAAUGUUUGAAGAGAAAUUGUUUUACCUCAUGCAACAAACCCUAAUCAUUGGUUGCAAGUAAAAUAUCAUCUACGUAUAAAACAAGAAAAAAAGAUCUUAUUCCCACUAACCUUCUGGUAUCUACAUUGAUCUAUGUGUUUUUCAACAAAUCUAAAUGCAGAAAUUACUCCGUGGAAUUUUAAAUACCAUUGACGGGAUGCUUGUUUCAGACUGUAUAUAGACUUCUUAAGCUUACAUACCAAGUGCUCACCAUCAUUAGAGAAAAAUCCUUUAGGUUGUUUCAUAUAAACCUCCUCCUUUAAAUCUCAAUGUUGUUUUUGCAUCCAUUUGUUGUAACUCAAGGUCAAAUUGGGCUACCAGUUCCAAAAUAAAAAAUAGAGAAUCUUUCUUAAAUACUGGAGAGAAGGUCUCCAUGUAAUCGAUUCCCUCCUUUAGAGUGAGUUCCAUAGUGACAAGUCUUGCCUUGUAUCUCUCAAUAUUACCUAACGAGUCAUUCUUAGUCUUAAAGACCCAUUUACAGUCAAUAGCUUUGGCACCACUAGGCAACUCAACAAGAUUCUAGACUUCAUUGCUCUUCAUGGAACCCAUCUCUUCCUUCAUGGCGCUAUAUCAUAAUUUUGACUUUUUACAACUCAUGGCCUAUGAAAAUGAUUCGGGAUCAUUUUUGGAUCUAAUAUUAUGGUCAAGUUCUUGUAGGUACACUUCAUAAUCACUAGGAAUUGCUGACCUUUUGGUUCUAGUACAUCUUCUUAACAUCGUACCAUCAUCUUCCUGAUAAGCUCAAGGUUAAACUAUUUGUUGUAGAGGUUCUGACAAUUUCUGAAUUACCUGAUCUACUUGAACAUUGUCAGUAGCUUGUGAAAUUUCAAUGAUUGGUUGUUCGACACCUGUUUAUACUUGAGGAUGCUGUGAACUAUAAUCAAUUUGUCAUCUAAUAUGGGAGGUUGAGAUUCCAAAUGAUCAUGCUCAAGAACUUUGUUCUUGGUUAGAUCGCUCCCAAUAAUCAAAUCAUUCUCAAAAAACGUAACAUUUCUUUAUUCCACCAUCAUAGUGCUGUGAGAUAGACAGUAAAAUCUGUAUCCUCUAGACCUUUCAGCAUAUCCAAUGAAAUACCCACUAAUGGUCCUUUUGUCCAACUUCUUCUCUUGUGGGUUAACGAUCCUCACUUCAAAUGGACAUCCCCAAACACGCAUAUGUCGCAAACUUGGUUUCCAACCUUUCAAUAAUCCAAAUGGUGUAUUUGGGAUAGCCUUAGUUGGAACUCGAUUUCAAUAUAUCCACUGCCGCCUUUAGUGCUUCAGUCCACAAGAAUUUAGGAAGAUUGGAGCUACUAAGCAUACUUAGCUCCAUGUCCAAUAAUGUUCUAUUUCUUCUUUCUACUACACCAUUCUGGUAUGGUAAACUAGGCAUGGUGUAUUGGGCAACUAUUCCAUACUUUUGAAGAAACUUAUUGAAUGGACCAGGCGCUUGUCUAUCUUGUGUGUAUUUACCGUAAUAUUCUCCACCUCUAUCUGAUCUUACAAUCUUAAUCUACUUCUCAUAUUAUUUCUCUACUUCAGCCUUAAAGGUUUUGAAGGCAUAUAAUACUUCGUUCUUAUUAUGAAGCAAGUAGAGAUAUAUAUUGUGAGUAAUCAUCAAUAAAGAUGAAAAAGUAUUUCUAACCAUGUAAGUCCAUGUCUGGACUAUAUACAUCAGUAUGUAUGAUUUUUAAUAUGUCUGAACUCCUGUUGAUACCUUUCUUGGACUUGUUGGUCUGCUUUCCCUUAAUGCAAUCCAUACAUAUGUCAAAAUCAGUUAAAUUUAGAGUACUAAGUAUCACAUCAUUCACUAAUCUUUUGAUUCUAUCUAUAGAGAUAUAUCCUAAUUUUUUAUGCCACAACAUAGAUGAGUCUUCGUUGAUAUUACACCAUUUAAUGCCACUAUGAACAUGCAUUGAACUAUAAAUAAUAUUAUUUUGUAAAUUAAUACGAUAAAGACCAUCAGAAAAAGUAUCAUUCCCAAACAACUAGAAUUAUAUAAUAAACUGAACGAUGUGUUUGAAAAAUUAAAGGAAUAUUCCAAGGGUACAGGUCUAGAAACGGAAAUCAAGUAUCGUGAAAAACUUGGAACAUAAAAGGUCCUAUCUAAUUUCAAAACAAAACCACUACUUAAAGUUAAAUUGCAUGUUCCUAUAGCCUCCAAACGUGAGCCAAUCUUGCUUCAGGAUACGAUAUUUUGCUCACUUCUCACCGACUUCCUUAGAUUUUCCAUACCCUACAAAGAGUUUGCAACAUGGAUUGUAAAUCUAGUGUUAAUGUACGAGGUGUUAAUAUUUACAUUAAAUAUAUUAGAUUCAUAACAAACAAAUGAGGUUGGAUUACCUUUAUCCUCAAGCCAUUUCUUGAAUUUGGUGUAAUCUUUCUUCAUGUGUCAUUUCUUUUUACAGAAGUAACACUUGGCCUCUUUCUUACUAUCAACUUCGGUUGAGAUUUUACCUUUCCCUUUCUAAUUGGCUUGAGUCUUUCUCUUCCCACUAGUUGUAGUCAAUAUUGCACUUUGACCUUGUUCCAUUAUUAGUCUCACUUCUUCUAGAAUACACGGUCAUUAAUUCAUUAAUUGACUAUUAAUUUUUAUGUGUGUUAUAUGAGAUUUUGAAAGGUCCGUACUCUUGUCGGAGACUAUUCAAGAAACAGUGCACAAUAAAGGAUUCAGACAUCUCAACCUCGAGUUUCUUAAGUGGAGCCGAAUGUCUCUCAUUUGCAUGAUGUGCUUGCGGACACCUUUCACAUUGGUGAGCCUUAAGGAUGGAAAUUUUAUUAAAAGGAUGCUUACCAGUGCCUUAUCUGAAGUAACGAAUUGGUCAUCUAUGGCCUUUAUCAAGUCCUGAAUCUGGUCAUGCUAAUCGAUGGAACCACGUAUAUCAGCAUAAAUUUUAGUCUUCAUGAACAUCACGUUGAAGUGAUUAGAUCGCUACCAUUUUUCAUAAAGCGCGAUGACUGCAGCAGUGCUGGUUCGGUGAUUUUAGGUAGUUCGUCUUUCCUCAUAGCAUAAUCAAUAUCCAUUCAUCCUAAAUGGAGAAGAAUUCUCUUCUUCUAUACUUUAUAGUUGUCACCCUUUAAUUCAAGAAUAUCACAAUGAAUAUCAGAGAAAUCAAUAGGUUGUGAAACUGCAUAGUAUUAAAAAUUCUUAGGUUAACUUGAGGCUUAAUUGAAUAGAUUGUAUAUUUUACCAAUGUAAAUCAUGCUGAAAUUGAAUAUAAUGACAUAAAAAUUGCCUGUGGGCUAAAUUUUUAAUUCAAUUACUCCUUAUAAUAAAAUUAUCAAAUUAUGCACUUAAUUCAUAAUUUGUUUAUUAUGAAAACAAUUUGAUAUUCUAUUCCAUAGAAUGUUUAUAAUAAAACUAUCAAAUUAUAUACUUAUUCAUAAUUCUUGGGGAUAACUUAUUAGAUAAUUUAAUAUUUUAUUCUAAUUACUUAUAUAAAUAUAACAAAAAUCUCUGUGAGAUAAAAUUCAUUAUAUUAAGUAUAACUAGUUACAAUCUAACGUCUUUAAUCCUUAUGUGAUUCCAAUCUUAAUAUAUAAUUUCAUUUAAUUAAAGAUGUUGUAGCCAAUUCUUAAAUAAAUAAAAUUAUACUGAUCACUAGACAUUAUUCUUUUAUGCAUAAACAAUAAAUUUAAUAUGAAAAUAAUUUAAAUAGCAUAAUUAAAACUAACAUGUUAUGAUUAUACACAAAAUAUUCUCAUAGACAUUACAAAAUUGCAUAAAAUAAUUUAAGCAUAAUUAACUCAUGCAAACUAAAUAUGAACAUAAUUCACAAUUUUAUACAUCCUAAAAUUGCAUACAUUAUUCCAGAAAUAAUUAUCAUAUGCAAAAUUAAAAUCAAUGCCUAAGAAUUAAACUGCAUAAUUGGCCCAUAAAUAAAAGUGCAUGUUUGAAUUCUAUAAGUUGGUCCAACGAAUAGUGUAUGUUAUAGCCCAAUUUAUAAUUGCAUGAGUAAAACGUACAUUAUGAAAAUAAUAUGGAUUGUGGUCCAACAAAUAAUUGGAUAUGAUAAUCCAGUAGGCCCAAAAUUGACUCAAGGGAAACGGCCCAUUGAACAUUUUUAAAAGCCCUUACAAAUAUGGCCAAAUUAAAAUGGUUAUGAUUUUUUUUUAAAUGGGCUCAAGACCAUUAACGGUUGGCAUGGAAUUACAUAUUAGAACCUACAGAACUCAGGAAGUCUUCUUCAACCUCUAGAUGGGUUGCAAUCAACCCGGUCAGAACCCGCCUCAAAUUCAACUUUCUCUCCAUCAAAACUUAAGUUUGAAAACUCACAAAGUUUAGAAAAGUGAUUUCAUGGAGAAAUUCGAAUUUAUUUUCAACAAUAAAAUUCGGUCAGUGAAGACAAAGUUUUGCAUAUUACUCUAUAAACAUCAAGAUAGAGGUUAGAUUAUACUCUAAUACCAAAUGUUAGACGAAAAAUUAAUCCUAAACAAUUAUGCGGAAGCAAAUUGGAUCCAAAAACUAAAAAUUCCAUGAAUCGAAUUCAUACCUCCAGCCAUUUAUAUUGUUUCAAACGCUCUCCUUCUUUUAGGUAAUGGCAUUUCCAAGCUCUCAACACUCUAAUUUGAUGAUGUAUCUUGUAUUUUGGGUGGUUGAGCUUGAGGACCAAAACCCAUCUAUACAUAUAGCCAAAUUUUCAUCAAAAUAUUGCUACUAUUACCUUCCAAUCAAUGGAAAAUUGAAACCUUGUGAAUGCUGUUUGUAAAUGUUGAAAGCUGAAUAAUGAAUGUGAACCAUCAAUUGCCUGUUGAAGAAAUGGGAAUGAAUGGAUGGGCAGUGACACGAAAAAACUUCGAGUUAAAUCUCCAUUAAUUUAUUCAUGAAAAAAGCUCUAAAUGAUUAAUAAUUUAUAGUUAAUAAGGAGAUAUAUCAACUAGUAGUCCUUGUUCGUGUGUACACAUGUUGGAUUUAGAAAAGUGUUUGCUCCAACUAGUGCUCUAAGUAGAAGGUUGUUCAAGAUAUUGGUUAGAAAAAAUCUUAUUGUUCAAUUGAAGAUUAUAAAUUCGAUUAAGUAGUAUUGUACAAUUAUGUGUACGUAGUUGUAUCGAAGAGGCGAGUGACCUGAUCAUUUUACAAAACUUAAAUUAGCUUAUGGAUGGGAAGGUCCCUAGAAGGCCUUGAAGUUUCACUCAUGAUAGAAUCUUGAGAUGGAUUUGAGCUAAGUUUUUGGAGUUCGAUUUGUUUCCACAAUAUUUGCAGUUUAAUAACUGAAUGAUUUGAGUUGAAGAUGAGUAGAAAAUCAAUUUGACUCAAAUUAUAGGCCCCAACUUUAUCUAUGCUAUGAGAUAAACAAGAGACUCGAUAUAUCCUUAGUGCUCUCUUUAAUGGAGUCAUCAUGUUUAUUAAUUAUAUGUACAUAAAACCACAAGUUAAUUUGGAAUAACAUCAGACGAGUACAUACUAAUUAAGGAGGCAUAUCCUGAAUGGAGAUCUUGAACAACAAUUUGCACGAAUCAAACCCUAACUAGAGUUCUUUGACAACAAUUUAAAAUGAGUAUUUAAUUUAAUUUCUUGCAACUAAAAUGUCCCUUUCAUAUAGAGGACGGGCUUCGAAAAUCCAACUAUCAUUCUUCCGAAUGUACUCCUAAGACAUGACUGAUAUUGACCCACAAGUUCAUUUACCUAAUCAAGUAUAAAUGAAUACUUCAUACUUUUUAAUACCAAAGUUUUAAAUUAAAUGCAACUUUAUUAUUUAAAAUUUCUCAAACUCACAUCCUUCAUAUUUCCAAGGGUGAAUAUUUAAGUAAAUAAAUUUAUAAACCAUAAGUUGAAUUGAAUGCCCACAAAAGCUCAUCGUUUAGUUCGCCAAAUUAUUAAUUGACCACCAAUUUAUUUGUAAUACAGGAAAGCAAAUUCCUAAAACGGAAUAAUUUGGAGGUUGUAUUAAUUGCUUAGGUCAAGUUCUGUGCAUUGUAGUAUAAAUAAUAUUAUUUGUAAGUGAUGCUUAAAAAUAGUAGUCUAUGUGACAGUAGGAUCACUAUCACAUUCUUCAAUGAAUUAAAAUGCAUCCCAACUUCAUCGGAGAAUGUGGCAAUGAUCCACUACCACCUAAAUUGAUGUUUGCAAAACUGGUUAAAGAUAGCAGUACUUAUCAUAUUAUGGUACCGUAUUCUUGGAAAUCUUGGCUUAUUUAUAGAUUUACAACUCUGGAUUAUCAUUUGAAAAACAUCGAGAAGAACAAAACGUAUCAUUAAUGCCAAGUCAUGUAAUCUCUAUCAAAAUCAAAAGUCUACUGAUCUUCGUCCGAAAUCCCUUUGAACUAGUUACAUUCACGUAGUUUGUAGUUUCCAUCCUAAACAUCACAUUUAUAACCUUGAACUUGUAUAAGAGGCGCUACCUUCUUGAGAGUUGUUGUCAAUUUUAAAAUCCUGCAAGUGUACGGAUCGUAACAAGUAAUAAAGUAGAUCUAUAAGUCCAAAUAUUAUUUCCACGAGGACUACUAUCUAAUAAUUGAUUCAAUUAUUUCUAACUUGAAUUUGAUUGAAAACAAAUAAAGAAUUUAUUUGUCUUAUUUUUGUGAUUUUUUAUUUUAAAUAAACUAAACAACAAAAGUAACCUUUUGUAGAUGAUGUGUGCUAGGAUCCACGACUUAACCAUAGUUAUUCUCUUAAUUUCAAUCACCAAGUUUUAUACAAUUGAUCUUUUAUUGUAUUCAAUUUACCUAGCUCAAGUUCUCAUUGAGUCUAUUUAACUAAUUCAAUUCUAUAUUUUUAUGUGAAUCAAUCUUAGUUAAAUGCAAUAAUAUUAUAAGAAUUCAUAUAACAACCCCACUAAUUCGCUUACAUAUCUCUACGUUGUCUAAAUAAAUAAUUCACAUCUUUACGUAAUUAUUGUUCACGAAAUUAAUGAAUUAGUAGCUUAUUAAUCCAAUCAUUAAAAUUGGAAAUAAAAAAAAUUCACAAAAUCAAUUUGAAAUUUAAAAUUUUCUAAUUAUGUUAGGUUUUAUAUAAUUGGCAAUUCUAUGAACAAAAUGACUAAAAUAAAUAUGUUAUAAAAAGUCAAGGAGUUAGUUACAAUAUUGUAUAGUUGACGUUAGGUAAGUUAGGGUUCGAGUUCGGAUUAAGAAAAUAAUAGACCCCUUAAUUUCGCUAACCUAAAGCCUGGACAUUGCUCCAGCGACAAAGAUAGAAACUCAUCGUUCGCUUGUCGCCCAUCUUUCGCUCAAGCGACAGGCUGUCCCUCACUUGUUACCAUUUCCUCGCUCGAGCGACAAUUACAUGGCCCAAACUACCUAAUUGUCCUUACCUUUGGAUGGUUCUUUCUUAAUUGAACUUCAAAGGCUACUGAAAAUUGAAAGAGGAUAGACUACAAGUGCAGGAAGAGUACAAAAAUUGGUCAUUCUUGGUGAUCCACUUGGAAGAGACAAUUGUUGGAGAUUGGGAGCUAGUGGUUUUAGCAGGAUCUCGGAGGUUACAGGAAGUAGAUCAGGAAGUCUAGUGGAGUUGGCUAGGCAUCAUCUAACUGUAAAUCCAUAUUGUAUAUGGUGAAAAUAACUGGCUUGUUCCGGAGUUUUUAUCCAUUUGGGUUUCUCCGUCAACAUAUCUAGUUUUAUGUACUAUUUUCUUAUUAUAAACUAUGACAAUUCAACUUAGGAUAAUUGGACUGUUUGAUUAACCAUCUAGAAACAAUUAAAAGUGACUUAUUACUUUUUAAUUAUGUUUAUUCCACAUGUAAGGUAAAACUAAAUAGGUAGUCUAGAUCUUUCUAGGAAACUUUUCAAGUGAUAUUAGAGCCUUUAUUCAGUUCCUAGCCUCAGAUUUCUAGAUGAGUAGUUCAUUAUCUAUCCCUCUUUAUUUUGAUGGCAGUAAUUAUGCUUGCUGGAAGGUUAGAAUGAGAGCCUUUUUAAAAUCUAUGAAUGAACACAUUUAGUUUAAUGUUGUUAAUGGUUGGGCUGUCCCUAGUUCUACGGUUGAUAAUGUAAUAAUCCCUACUCCUAUUGCAAAUUGGACUAAAACAAACCUAGAUUAAUGUAAUUAGAACAGCAAAACUUUGCAUGCGUUGUUUAUGGAUGUGUUCCCUAAAGAGUUUAGACAAGUGUCCAUGUGUAAGGUAGCUAAAGAGAUUUAAGAUAUUUUAUAGACCACAUAUAAGAGAACAUAAGUUAUUAAGCACUCUAAAUUGCAAAAACUGACUACUAGGUUUGAAGAGAUUCAGAUGAAAGGGGAUGAGACCUUUGGUACUAAAUGUCAUAGUUAAUUCUAGCUUCAAGUUAGGUUCGAGAAUUAUAGAGCCUAAGAUAGUUAGAAAAAUCCUUAGAUCCUUACCUGGGUGAUUUAGGCCUAGAAUCACGACUAUUGAAAAGAGUAAGGAUAUAGACUCUAUUAAGGUGGAAGAGCUGGUUGGAUCUCUCCAAACAUAUAAACUAACAUUAACUAAACCCACAAACGAUAAGUCUUUAGCCUUAAACACUGUGAGGAAUAGUCUUAGAGAGUCUUUAGAUUCAGAUUCUCAUGAUAAAUAUGAGUUAGCAUACUCUGCUAAAAAAUUUCGAAAAAUAUUUCAGAAUGAAAAGAAACCUUAAGAAAAGUAUAGCAGUGGCCAUAGUGAAUCUAGGAAAAGUUCUAUUCUGUGAGAUGUCAUAAUUGUCACUUUUUUUCCCCAUACUAGGAGUGAGUGCCCUAGCAGUAAGAGAAAUCAAAAUAAGGCAAUGAAUGCUACUCUCACUGAUGACGAGUCUAGCUUGGACAAUCAGAGUGAGAAAUUCGCAAGUCAGGAAAGUGGGAGAUACAUUGUCUUCAUUGCUAGGAUUAGGAGUAGAUCUGACAAGGGAAAUGAUAGAGUUGAGAAAAUAGAUAGUGGUGAGGAAUCAAAGGAAGAUUCUGAGGAAGAUAUUCAUGAGGCUUGUGAUAGAAUCUAUUAGGAGAACACUAAGAUUCUAACUAUGAAUAAAGCUGAUGAGUGUUAUACGCUCAUGAUAUUUAUGUCACCUAAUUUGUUAUUUUGCUACUCUUGAGAGUGUUUUAGAACGUUUUAAUGUGUGUUUUGAUGUUGUGAUGUAGAUUGAUGAAAUUGGAGGAAUUAAGCAAAAGUUGGCAAAAUUGGAGAGAAUGGGCCAAAUUGUAAAAGAUCCAAAGCUCGGGGACUAAAAUAUAAAUAAUCCAAACUUGUAUCAAACCUUGCCAUGAAGAUCCGAGAGUGUUAGGAGUCAAUUGGAUGAGGAAAAAUGUCAAAGGGAUCAAAUUUAGGCAAAAUGUGAUCACAAAUCAAUUUCCAAUCGAAAAGUUAUGCUCCAAAAUUUCAGCCUCAUAGUGAGACAUAUUUCUGACAUAGAAAACAAUCGAAUUGGAAAAUUAUGUUUGAAGAAAAGUUAUAGCCCUUUGAGUUACCUUUCCAACACAUUUUGAAUCACCUCAAUCGGACAUCGAACGAAAAAGUUAUGGGAAAAAUAUUGAAAGAGGUGAAAACUGCAUUUUCGACCUGAAGUGAGCGCCAUGGUGCCCAUAUUGGGCACCGCAGCACCCAAGAUGCUGAAAACAACAGUGAACAUGGAGCCACAGUGCCCAUCUUGGGCGUCGAGGCGCCUCUCGUGCGGAAAAACGGGAUUUUAUAUUUUUGGAAUCUUUUAUUGGCCCAACUCAACCCUAAUUCGUUCAAUAACUUCAAGAUACUAUAAAUACCAUUUAAAAGACCUAUUUUCAAGAAGGAUGGAAGGGGGCAAGUUUGAAGAAUUCAACCACAUAAUUUGAAGGAGGCAAAAAUUGAAGACCUCAAAAGGAAGGAGGAACAACAUCAAGGAAGAAGAUUGAAGAUCUACCCAAGAGACUAGUUUUUUCUAUCCUUUUCCUUAUAUUGUUUAUUAUAAUUUGUAUGAUUUUCAUUUAUUAUACCAAGAAUUAAACAAUUUAUCUAGGGGUUUGAUGUAGCCGAAUCAAGAUUAUGGUUUGAUUAUUUUAUAAUUAUUUCUUUGAUUUUCCCGCAUAUAUUUAAUUGUAUCAUGAUUUUAAUGUUUUCAAUUGUCUGAUCAACAAUUGGAUGAUUUGAUGCUAGUCAAUUCCAGCGCUCGAGAGAGUGGGAAUUUAGGCGUGAUCAAAAGAGUGAUACAACAUAGAAUUUAUAGGUUUCGAGAGAAAGUAUAAAUCUGUGAAGCUUACUCCAUAAAAGAAUCGGACCUUUAUUAAAUUCUUGAUUUUCAAUUUUGAACAGAGAUGUUAGAAUUGGGAUCUAGGGUUAAUUUCUAUUCGGUGCUCGAGAGAGGGGGUUAGAAAUACAUUAGGAUUCUUGCUUUUAAAUAUGAGAAAAUUAAUUGGAAUAAUUUGAAUUUGUUGAAUCAUAAUUGAAAGUUAGGUGAAAUCAAUCCCUAGGCCUUCUCAUUUGAUAAUUUGUAUUCCCCAAAUUUUUCACAUCCAAUCACAUUAGUUUAGUUUAAAUCAUUCAUUCAUAAAAUAUCAAUUCAAUCAUACAUUCAUCUAAAUAAAGUAGAAAUUGCAUAAUUAUAGUACUUAGUGAAAAUUAAAUACAAUCCCUGCGAGUUCAACACUCUUAUUUCAAUACUAUAUUGCAAAACUUGACAUCGUACACUUGCGGUUAAACCACGUUGCUUAAAACGCGUGGCAAAAGCCUUAGGUACGAAGUUCAAGGAACUCAAGUUGGAGAAAGAGAGAUUGUUAGCUUACCUUCAAGAAUCUACCUCAACUCUGAGUGAGUUGAAAUCCAUGAACGAAUAUUUAGAUACUCAAGUUAAAAAUCUUACAAAUGAGUUUGAGAAGACCUCUAGAAGAGCUAGUGAGCUAACCAUUGAAAAUGAAACUUUAGAAAUCCAGAUAAAGAAUCUUAUGAGCGAAACUAGAGAUUUCCAAGUCUAAACUUCUUGGCUUUUCUAGUGGUUCUAUGAAGCUAGAUAACAUCCUAAGAAUGGACAAGACUGCUGGUAAUAAGGGAGGUCUAAGAUAUAAAAAAAAUAUAUCAUAAUGUUGCUAAUACGUUCAAGACCAAGUUUUUCCUUACUACUAACCAGCUUAAACGUGUACCUAACCCUGAACCUAAGAAUUGGGGAUUUGUAAGACAGAGGCCCACUAGACAGUGUAGGACCUGCCAACCUAGGAAUGAAAAUCAGCGAUCACAUAACUUUUGUUCUAAGUUUAUCCCUACAUGUUUUCAUUAUGGAGAGUUAGGACACAUAAGACCUAGGUAUCAUAAAUUGCUGAACUUAAAUAGAAACAUGAACUUCAACAAAAACAAGAAUCAGGAGUUUGCUGGGUAGAUUGACUUCCUUACUAAUGGUGAGUCAAUUGACCCGUUUAAUGACACAGAUGAGUGGGAAAAUUCCUAUCACUAAGCAUGUUCGGUGGAAAAAGUGAUUUGAAUAAUCUUGAAAUAGAUCAUGGUGCUCUUAAUGGUUAGAGCGUUUGCAUACCUAACUUAUUAGGUACUUCUGGUACAUGCUUGUACUUAAUCAUUAUGUGUCAUUGAUUUAUGUAUGUAUCACACUUGUUUAUUUAUUUUCUAGGUAGAAGUCUUAUGGACAUUUUUUUUUUUUUUGUGUUUGAUAUUUUUUUGUGCAAUUGGUGCAUUCAUGUUUUAAAAAUAAACAACAAAAUAGUAGGAAGAUUGAAAAAUACAAAAAAAAAAAAGGAAUGGAAAUUGUUUUUACAUCAUGAUAUAUAAUAUACUUGAAUUUUUGCUGUUGUGAUCAAGUAUGGAUUUAAUUGAUGAGCUAUAUCAUAGUUCCCACUGCUUGAUUAGGUUAUUACGGUGUACUUAGUAUAGGUGUCUUCAUGUACCACUUGCAUCGCACACAAUCGUGUGUAAGAGAUUCGAGAUGGCAGUCACAUGUUAAUAAUGUGAUUUUGAACAUGAAUUGACCUUAUUUAUUAGACCUAAGUUCAAGUUUAUUCCCUAUAACAAAUGCUCAAUUUUUUACGUUCUUUUGGAGCCUAUUUGACUCGAGCAAUUAAGCUUACGGGGAUUCUCAUAAUCUGGUGACUAUGAUCAACCGACUUAGAUUAACCGACAUAAAGCUUGCUACAGGGAUCAUCUUAAUCGUUUAGUGGAGAAUGACCUAUACUUAAGAUGUAAAAUUAUAUAUGAACUUAAAAAAUAUUGAAAAGUAUAAAAAAUUUAUGUGUGCUCAAAGUCAAGGGAGAUAAGAAAAUAUUCAUACAAAAUGAACUUUUAUUUAAAGGUCUUGAUGUACUUUAAAUGGUUUGACUUUCAUAAGUAGAAGAAUAAACUUAUUGGCAGUAAUGUCUAGCAUGUCCAUUCUUACAAAAUAAAGUUUUGGAAUCCUGCUUAUAAAGGAUUAGUGACACUUUAUAUACAUGAGCCACUUAUAUAAUUUACUCAAUGUUAACUUGAAUUGAGUAUAUGGGCAGGUUUGCUGAUCAUUGAUUAUGCUUGUGCAUGCUAUCAUGUGCAUAUUUUGAGUUAUUAUAUAUUGAUGUUAAUUUAUUUUUUUUAUUUUUUAUAUUGAUCCCUUCGUUAUUUGUGACAAAAAGGGAAGUGAGUGAUUAUUUCAAUAGAAGGAGAGACUAUAUCACCUAUAUCGUUAUAUAUUUAUAUCUUGAGAAGAUAUUGGGGGGCAAAAUGAUUGAUUGAUUAGAGUUUGCAGUAAGGGAAAGAUUGAUUAGUUUCAUUACAUUCCAUAUCAUGAUGCAUAGCUGUUUGACCUUUUGUAAUAUUAAUAAUUCAGUUGGUGUUUUGAUUGACAUUAGUAUUAUUUCUCAUUCUAGCAUGCUUAUCAAUGAUUAUGUGCCUAUAUUGUUAUAUUUUCUGUAUCAUUUACUUUUACACUUGGUAUUUGAGUUGUUGAUUUCAGAAAAUAGGUUUAACAAGGAAUGCAGAAAUAGAGUUUGGGUAUAUUAGAUUUUUGUUUUACUAUCUUGACUUUAAUUGUAUAGUUUUGUAACGAAAUACCAAAAGGGGAGUUUAUCAAAUUUUAUAUAAUUCACAAUUCUGUGAACAAAAUGGCUUAAAUAUAUAUGUUGUAAAAAGUCAAGGAGUUAGUUCCAAUAUUAUAUAGUUGAAUUAGGUAAGUUACGGUUUGAGUUCGGUAUAAGGAAAAAAUAGACGUUGCAAUUUCACUUACUUAUCCCUUGGACAUUGCUCGAGAGUCAAAAACUGAAACCCCAUCGCUCACCUGUAGCUCGUCUCUCGCUCGAGCGAUACUUAUUUAUGAAGAACGCGAGUUCACAUUUUUGAAAAGUUUUACGUGGCCAAAACUACCUAAUUGUCCUCAACUUUAAAUACUCAAUGCCUAGCACGAAAUUUGGUGCGGUUGUUCAUUGUACAUCUUCUCUAUAACACAUUCAUAACAUUCUUUAAAGAUCCAAGAGCUUGUUCAUGUAUUGAUUAAAUCCACCUAUUCUUGAGAUUAUACAACCACAGAUUGGGGAAAAACAUUGAAUCUAAAACACCAACUUCUUAAAUACCCUUAGUAAAGUACUUUCUCAACUAAACUUCAGAGGCUGCUGAAGAUUGAGAGAGGUUGGACUACUAGCACAAGAAGAGUACAAGAAUUGGUUAUUCUUGGUAAUGCACUCAGAAGAGACAAUUGUUGGAGAUCGGGAGCGGGUGAUUUCAGCAGGAUCUUGGAGGUUACAGAAAGUAGGUCAAGAAGUCUAGUGUAGUUGACUAGUCAUCAUCUAAUUGUAAAUCCAUAAUGUUUAUGGUGGAGGUAACUGGCUUAGUCUAGGAGUUAUUAUCCAAUUGGGUUUCUCCGUUAACAUAUCCGGUGUUAUUUACUACUUUCUUAUCACAAACUAUAACAAUUCAAAUUAGGAUAAUUGGACUACUUUAAUAAUCAUCUAGAAAUAAUUAAAAAAUUGACCUGUUGAUUUUAAUUGUGUUAAUUCCACACGUAAGGUUAAACUAAAUCAGUAAUCUAGAUCCUUCUAGAAAAUGUUUAAAAUUAAAAAUAAUGUUUAAAACUAGGUUACAAUCAUUCAUCCUAAUAAAUACUUAAUUACACAUCAUAGGAGAAGAAUAAAACAAGAAGGAAUUAAAGUACAUCACCAGGAGAAAAAGGUAAAGAUCCAACACCAUGAAUCCAUCUCUUCUUGUGAAAUCUUUGAAACCAUAGUUCCUUGAUUGGUUUUCUUGAUUUUUUUCCCUCCUUUUGGCUUGAAUAAUAUAUGUAUAACGAAUCCCCAAGCCUUGGAUUGAAUGUAUGUGUAUAAUGGAACUCCACAAGCCCUUUUAAAUUGUUGGGCUAAGGUAUGUAUUUAUAAAACAAAAUUUAAGUAACAUCUUUGUUCAACUUGAUUUCGACAAAAUAGUUCAAAUUAAUUUCUGCUAAAGAGUUUAAGAAAUAAAAGAAAACAAAUUCCCUUUCAAUUGGACUCCUUUUCUCAUAUGAAUUUAGUCCUAAAUUUUCUGUUAUUCUGCAAUUAAGUCUUCUUCAUUUCAAAAUCAUAAUAGUUGACCCGAGACGUGUCUUGAAAUUUGAAAUUUAGUUCAAAACUUUUCAAAUGUCAAAUUUAACUCUCGAAACUUUAUGAAUUUUCACCAAAUUCUCAAUUAAUAUUUUCAAUUGAUCUCUUGCAACCCGGUUAAUCUUUAAUUGCUUCAAAUCACUUCAAAUAAGCUCCAUAUAGUCUCCUUUUAUAUAAAUUGUAUUCAGAUUGAGAUUUUCCUACAAUUAGGCACAUAAAAUGCACUUAACAAACACUCACAAACUUAAACUCUUGUUGUCCCGAGCAAGAACAUCUACUAAACACACGAGCAAAAAAAAUAGAAAUAUAUUAGAUAACUUUACCAAGCUCGCAUCAAGUAUUGAAAUUGUUUGAUACUUCACAAAAAGUUCCAGCAAUUAAAUUAAUUCUUUGCUUUUUCAAUGCUCGAUCGAUGUGUAUGUGUUCAUAGUCAAUCAAAUUAUCAUGAAUUUUUUAAUUGAUUAUAUCCCAACCCCUUAUAGUCAAAUAUUUCCUCUCUCUUCUAGGAUGCACAUCUCCAAACUCGUUUUUCAAUCACAUUCACAAGAUAUUUAUUCUAUGGUUGAUCAUACAAUACUCUUAUCUUUUCCCACUCAAAUUUGAUUAGGUUCCACCAAUGAAAGUCAUACAACACUCUUUUCUCAAUACACGAUAAUGCCCCUUAAGUUUGAAUGUUUCAAUCUCUAAACUUCAACUACGAUAAUAACCAUCGCAAUAGUCUAAAUUUCAAAUUAAGUAUCCAAGGCUUAGCCGAACAGAAACGGUGCUUAUAGUUAUUUUGUCACUACCUCAACACACUUUGGUGUAUUUUUUGUCCCUUUUUUUUUAUUUUUGGGAUAGUUUCCUUGAUUUUUGAAGGUACUUUUCAUUCUACAUCGACACCGGCCUUCUUCCUUGUAGAUUAUCUCCUAAACAUUGAUGAUGAAUAGGGCCAGAUUACUCAAGACUACCUUCACACAACAAUAUAGAUGACUUUUUUCUAUGUUCCACAGCUAAUGCAAUGCCUUUUAUUUUUUUAGAAGAAUAAUUGAAAUCAAACUCCUAGCAGAUGAUUUUUACCUAGUCUCUAUGUGUUAGCCAAAAACCACACAAAUAUUGAACAUGCAUGGAAUCAACGCAGAUCUAAGUAACUCCCAACAAUGGAUCAAUCACCCUCCAAACUUAUCCUUUCAAUAGAUUAAGUGGAUAUGCUAAGUGCAACCAUAAUAACCAAAAUUAAAGAGUUAAGGGUUAGAAAAAUGGGUUACUUCUCAUUAGUUCUUGAUUUAUAGUCUCAAGCUCGACUUUGAACAACGAUAUUUCAUGGAAUUUUAAUUAUAUAUCUUUGGAGAUCUUGUUUAGCUUGCAUGGAUUGUCGUUAUUACUUUGUCAUUUUGAAUAUGGUAUAACUUGCUUAAAUUAUCUAAUUCGAACUCAAUGAAGAAUACUUUGAUCUUCUGAUCUUCUUUAAUUACAAAAUUGAUGAAGUUGAAGGUUUGCAUGCUAAUUACAUCUUCUUUGAAUACCACUAAUUCGUUUGGCUCCUUCGUGAUUAAUUCAUUUGAUUCUACAUUUUUUUUCUUUAGUUGUUGGUUCCUCGGGUUUACUAAUGAAUUGAUCAUCCAUAAACAUGUUACUUGACUCAUCCAGAAUUAUUUGAUCUUCAAUCAUUUUAUAUUUUUUACACAGUAAUGUCUCCUAUAAUUAUUUUAUUGUAUUCAUCUUGUUCUUCAUUUUGGUAUUACCAAUAACAAGCAAUUUUUAAUUUAAUGUAAUGCACCACAAUAUUUACAAGUCGAUCUAAUCUCUCCAUAAACAAUAGAUUUGAUAUUUAGUCGCUCCAGGAAGCCAUCCUUAUCUAAUACAAUAGAUUGAUUGUGUUCUCACUGUUUAAGUUCUUAUCUAAAAUGAAUUCUCAAAAAACCAUGUCACCAUCAUCUAAGUUGGGAUUAAUCAUUGUGAAUUUUUGACAUCUUGCUUCUUUUCAAACCUUUCAAUGGAGUAAAAGAAAAAACAAGUAAAUAAACCGAAAAAGAAAAAAGAAAAAAAUCAAACAAAAGUACGAAAUAAUUAAAAUCAAUAUUAAAUAAUAUAAUCUCCAGCAACGGUGCCAACUAUUUGUUGUCGAUUUUUAUAUCCAACAAGUGUACGAAUUGUAACAUGUAAUAAAGUGGACCUAUAAAUCCAAAUAUCAUUUCUACGAGGACUACUAUGAAAGAAUUAAAAAAUCAAUUUUUAACUGUUAUUUCAUUAUUCAACCCAUCAUUUUUUAUUUCUUUUCUUACAAGUAGAACUCACUUUUCUCUCAAACGGUCAAAAAAUCAAUUCUCAAAAUCACUACCGUACAAGCCCUAAAUUAAACAAUAAAAUUGACUUUUUUUAUAUGAUGGUUAAAGUGUUAGGAUUUAUAAGUUUACCAUAGUUAUCCCCUUUAACUCAAUCAAUAAGUUUUAUACAACUGAUUAUGUUUACAUAAUCAAAUUCUUUCUAUUAUAUUCAAUUUACCCAUAUUGAGUUCUCAUUAAGUUUAUUUAACUAAUUCAAUUACACAUCUCUAUAUAAAUUAAUCUUAGUUAAACGUAUUAAUGUUCUAAGAAUUCGUGUAAUGGCCUUAAUAAAUAGCGUAAAUAUCCCCACGUUUUGUACUAGUUACUAACUUUUACUGUAUGGUCUUAACAAAUAAUUCGCAUUUCUACGUAAUUAUUGUUCACAAAAUCAAUGAAUUAGUGACCAAUUAAUCCAAGCUUUAAGAUUAGAAGUAAAAACAAUUCGGAAAAUCAAUUUGAGAUAUAAAACUCUUUAAUUAAAAAUUAGGUUUAAAAUUAGGGUUCAAUCAUUUAUCUUAACUAGAUACUUAAUUACACAUCAUGGGAAAAGAACAAAACAAGAAGGAAUUAAAGUGUAUCACUGGGUAUUAAAGAAAACCAAGAAAAUGGUGAAUAUCUUGCACCAAGAAUCCGCAUCUUCUUAUGAAAUCAUUGAAACCCUAACUCCUUGAUUGAUUUCUUGAUUUUUCACUCCUUUUGGCUUGAAUAAUAUAUGUAUAAUGAAUCCCUAAUCCUUGGUUUGAAUGUAUAUGUAUAAUAGAACUCCACAAGCCCCUUUAAAUUGUUGGACUUCGGUAUGUAUUUAUAAAACAAGAUUUAAAUAAAAUCAUUGUUCAACGUAAUUUCCACAAAAGAGUUCAAACUGGUGUCUACCAAAGAGCUUAAGAAAUAAAAGGAAAUAAAUUCCUUGUUCAAUUGGAAUCCUUUUCUCACAUGACUUUAGUUCUUCAUCUUCUAUUAUUUUGCAGUUAAGUCCUCUUCAUUCCAAAAUCAUAAUUGUUGAUCCAAGACAAGUUUCGAAGUUUACAAUUUACUCCUCAACCUUUCCAAAUAUCGAAUUUCACUCUCGAAACUUUAUAAAUUUUUAUUGAAUGCUCCAUUAAUAUUUCCAAUUGAUCUCAUGCAAUCCGGUUAAUAUUCAAUUGCUUGAAAUAAACUCCAAUUAAGUUCCAAAUAACUUCUUUUAUAUAAAUUGUAUUUAAGUUGGGAAUUUUCUACAAUUAACAUAAUUUAUACAAAUUAAGUAGAUAAUCGCUCAAUUUAUAUAUAAUAAAUUAAGAAUAUAAGUCCGAAUAAGGACAUAAAAUGCACUUAUCAAUAAUACUAGAUAUUUCCCAGAUUUCAUAUUGUUAGCCUCUUCAAAAAUAUGACUAUGGACUAUAUUACGCCAACACGUGCACCACCACUCGAAUCUCUCUCAAAGUAACUCUAGCCUCUACCAAUAACCUCAAGACCAUGAUACCUAUUCAUUAUACCUGAGCCAUGUACUACAGUAGCCCUUGCUUAUUUGGUCCUUCUCUACGUCCUUCUCUAGGAUUAGUCGAAUAUUCUAAAUUGUAACACUAAGCUCCCCACCAUAUUUUUGAAAAGAACACUAGUAUCCACAUAUGAUUUAUUCUCUUUUGCAUGCGUGUCUUUGCAGUUGUCACUAUUUUAUCGGUCAUUUUUAAGUUAUUCAAGUCUUUUCUUUUGAGGGCUUAAGUGUAACAAAUUUCAAGUUUAUCUUUAUGGCAGUAGUUUAGAACUAGAAUUUUGCUACUUGAACCGAAUUUUUGUAUUGAUAGGUGCAUGCAACUGUCAACUCAUCUAUACAAAAUCAUAUCGGUACAAGUAGAAUAAUUCUUACAGUUGACAUGUCUCAAUUAUCCGAAAGGACAAUCAAAUCCUCCUUUUUCAAGUCCUAAUUAUCAGCUACCCUCAACACCACCUCCUCUAUUUGAACCCUUAACCCACUCCACACAAUUCUUCAAACUGGAGAUUAUGUUGUCUCUGCCCUCUCUCUAUUUAUCUGUCUUCUGUCCUAUUCUCAUUCAAAUCGCAUAAAUUCCUUGGAAACAUUUUGAAAGCUUCCCAACAUUUCCAUUUUCCAGUUUUAUAUAAACUCUUGAUGAAUCCUUGUAAUCUUUGUAUGCCACCACCAAUGGAUACUACUUUCGAUGAUCUAUUUUCCGGUCGAUGCAUACUGGUAAAUGGCCCUGUAUUGUUGGGGCAGGUCCAUCAGGCUUAUCAGUUGGUGCUGGCCUUAAACAAGAGGGGGUUCCAUUUGUGAUCCUUGAAAGAGCUAGCUGCAUUGCCUCUUUAUGGUAAAACUGGACCUAUGAUCGACUUAAACUUCAUCUUCCAAAACAAUUCUGCGAAUUACCAUACCAUCCAUUCCCAGAAAACUUCCCAGAAUACCCCACAAAACACCAAUUCGUCGACUAACUUGAAUCAUAUGUAAAAAAAUUUGAUAUCAAUCCUAGGUUCAAUGAGUCGGUUCAAUCCGCUAAAUUCGAUGAAACAUGUGACUUAUGGCGCAUUAAGACCCUUAGGAAUGAUGAUUCGACUUUAGAGUACAUUUGCAGGUGGCUCGUGGUGGCGACCGGAGAAAAUGCUGAAAAGGUUGUGCCCGAAUUCGAAGGGUUGCAAGAAUUUGGCGGCAGUGUUUUGCACGCUUGUGAUUACAAAACAGGUGAGGCUUAUCAAGGAAAGAAUGUACUAGUUGUUGGCUGUGGAAAUUCAGGAAUGGAAGUUUCUCCUGAUCUUUGCCACCAUAAUGCACUUCCAUUAAUGGUGGUUCGCAGCUCGGUCAGUCAAUCUUGUCUUUCUUGUUUUAUCUCAAAUACUUUACAUACAGUGAACAAGAUUUUAACAUUUUUCCUAACUAAAAUGCGUAGGUUCAUAUACUGCCGAGAGAAAUUUUUGGGAAAUCGACAUUCGAGUUGUCAGUUAAACUAACGACGUGGUUGCCAAUUUGGGUUCUGGAUAAAACACUGCUAGUAGCUGCAAGAUUAAUCCUAGGAAAUGUUGAAAAGUAUGGGCUUAAGAGGCCAUCCACUGGUCCUUUACAGCUCAAGAACACACAAGGGAAAACCCCUGCCCUGGAUAUAGGUGCUUUUAAACAGAUUAGAUCUGGUAAAAUCAAGAUUAUCCCCGGAAUUAACAGGUUUUCAAGUGGGAAAGUUGAAUUGGUCAACGGGCAAAUUCUUGAAAUUGAUUCUGUCAUUUUGGCAACUGGGUAUUGCAGCAAUGUCCCAUCUUGGUUAAAGGUCAGAAUUCCCCCCCCCCCCCCCCUCUCUGUCUCUCUCUAUAUACUUGUGCGUGUUGUGGGGUGGUGGGAGGUUGAGUGGGUUGGGGUGGAUUUAUGUAAAAGUUAUGGAAGGUGGAUGUAGCUAUAUGUAUAUCAAGAUUUGCAUAAUGUCGUGUGGCGCUCUAUCAUUUGUCAAUUUAAAAUAUAAUCAAUUAUUUCAUCCAAUGUUUUCCCCACACAUCAUUUUUAGUAAUCGCUUAUGUACCAUUUUGAUGUAUAAGAAUCAAAAUCCCAUGAAAGUUGGGUUCCUUGUAGAUUCCAUGUUCCCAUGUCUGAAUAUAGUCACUAGUCAAGUUGGUGGGAUAUGUUCAAAUUUAUAUAUAACUAUUAUUAUCUUUAUAUUGGACUUAAUUCAAAAAUUUGACAAUACUGUUCAAUACUCUCGAUAUUCUACAAUUAAUGUACCAGACGUACAAUAUGAAUACGAUAUUUUUUUCUCAAUUAAUUUUUGGGUUUUGCUACAUGUACAUCAAGUUUUACAUAAUAGAUUACAUAAUGCCACAUGUCACAUAAUCAUUUGUCAUUUUAAAACGCAAUCAAGUUUUUCAUCCAAUCUUUUUUCCUCAACAUCAUUUUAUUUAAUCAUUUAUGUACAUUUUUUAUGUACAAACAGCAUAAUCCUUAAUUUUUCUGGGAUAAAAAAAUACUUUAUUCUUUCAUCCUUUUUCCUUCUCCCGAUGCUUGUUGUUCAACUUUAUUUUAAUAUAGUCUAAUAUGAGAUGUGCUUUUAGGUCGAGAAUAUCUGUUCAAGGAUUCUUGUAUGGACAUAUUUUAACAAAUAAAUUCACUAAGUCAAGAUUUUUUUUAUUAUUUUCUUUUCAUGUUAUGCAGGAAAAUGAGUUCUUUUCAAAAGAUGGAUUUCCCAAAUCAAACCUACCAAAUGGAUGGAAAGGCAAAAGUGGGAUAUAUGCAGUUGGUUUCUCAAGAAGAGGCCUCUCUGGUGCAUCUUUGGAUGCCAUUAGAGUAGCCCAAGAUAUAAGCAAAAUCUGGAAAAAAGAAAUUGUGUGCAAUAAAAAGUGCAAAUCCCAUUUCUAAUUUAUGCCAAACAACCCUUUAGCGCAUUAAUUAAGAGUGUUUUCUUUAGGGCUUGUAGAUUUGCUUAGACAUGAAAAGAAGAAAGGUGACACUUGAAUCAGAGCAGCCCUCUUCAUAAAAGUUAGUCCCAAAAAAAAAAAAAAAUUGGGCAUUUUUGUACAAAAGGAAGAUGAGGCUUUUCCAUUUUUAGUGCCAAGGGAUUUGUAUAAAUAAGUUGAGUUGUUCGANUAUCAAGAUUUGCAUAAUGUCGUGUGGCGCUCUAUCAUUUGUCAAUUUAAAAUAUAAUCAAUUAUUUCAUCCAAUGUUUUCCCACACAUCAUUUUUAGUAAUAGCUUAUGUACCAUUUUGAUGUAUAAGAAUCAAAAUCCCAUGAAAGUUGGGUUCCUUGUAGAUUCCAUGUUCCCAUGUCUGAAUAUAGUCACUAGUCAGGCUGGUGGGAUAUGUUCUAAUUUAUAUAUAACUAUUAUUAUCUUUAUAUUGGACUUAAUUCAAAAAUUUGACAAUAUUGUUCAAUACUCUCGAUAUUCUACAAUUAAUGUACCAGACGUACAAUAUGAAUACGAUAUUUUUUUCUCAAUUAAUUUUUGGGUUUUGCUACAUGUACAUCAAGUUUUACAUAAUAGAUUACAUAAUGUCACAUGUCACAUAAUCAUUUGUCAGUUUAAAACGCAAUCAAGUUUUUCAUCCAAUCUUUAUUCCUCAACAUCAUUUUAUGUAAUCCUUUAUGUACAUUUUUUAUGUACAAACAGCAUAAUCCUUAAUUUUUCUGGGAUAAAAAAAUACUUUAUUCUUUCAUCCUUUUUCCUUCUCCCGAUGCUUGUUGUUCAACUUUAUUUUAAUAUAAUCAAAUAUGAGAUGUACUUUUAGGUCGAGAAUAUCUGUUCAAGGAUUCUUGUGUGGACAUAUUGUAACAAAUAAAUUCACUAAGUCAAGAUUUUUUUUAUUAUUUUCUUUUCAUGUUAUGCAGGAAAAUGAGUUCUUUUCAAAAGAUGGAUUUCCCAAAUCAAACCUACCAAAUGGAUGGAAAGGCAAAAGUGGGAUAUAUGCAGUUGGUUUCUCAAGAAGAGGCCUCUCUGGUGCAUCUUUGGAUGCCAUUAGAGUAGCCCAAGAUAUAAGCAAAAUCUGGAAAAAAGAAAUUGUGUGCAAUAAAAAGUGCAAAUCCCAUUUCUAAUUUAUGCCAAACAACCCUUUAGCGCAUUAAUUAAGAGUGUUUUCUUUAGGGCUUGUAGAUUUGCUUAGACAUGAAAAGAAGAAAGGUGACACUUGAAUCAGAGCAGCCCUCUUCAUAAAAGUUAGUCCCAAAAUAAAAAUUUUGGGCAUUUUUGUACGAAAGGAAGAUGAGGCUUUUCCAUUUUUAGUGCCAAGGGAUUUGUAUAAAUAAGUUGAGUUGUUCGACUAAAGUUAAGUAUUUCUAUUUCAUUCUCUCAAGUUGGCCCAUCUAGUAUUUUCUUAUUCUAUGCUCAAAACGUAUAAAGCGCAUAAAGCACAUGAUGUCAAAUAGUACAUAUAUCUUACUGUUGUCAUCCAAAACUUUACUCGCCAAAAAAUCAAAGUAUAUUUAAAUAAUGAGUUACUUUUUCAAGUUUACAAACAUAUAUAUUUAGCAUUACAAAUUUAGCUCCGACUUUUUACCGAUUUAUGGUCCCACUGAAUUUGGUGAACCCCUUAUCCAUAAUUCCCCAACGUUAAUACUCUAUUUAAAUGUGAAAUCGACUAUACACUUAACUUUUAUUAAGUACAUAUAAAAGCUCUAGAGAGACCAUGUUGCUUAGCACUAGCAUAUAUAGCACCAACAACAUUAAUGAAGAACGGUGGAGAAUUGUUUUUUCGAGUCAAAAUUGCAACAUAAUUGACAAAUCGUGGGAACACAGGAUACUCUUGGAAUUCAGAAAAGGAAAAAAUUGAAAUUGAAAAAAUAAAAAUAAAAAAAAUCGUGCUUAAAAUCAAAUCAAAUUGUUUCUAUGCAUGUACUUCACAUUAUACUCAUUAUUAAAAUAUUACAGAUUGACUAAGAGGAAAAGUAAACAACUUUCUUCUGUUAAUUUGAUAUAUGUUUAAAUACCAUGUACAAAUGCCACAUCAUGGUAGUUUGCAAGAUGUUAUACUCGGUCCAAGAUAUCAAGUCUCUCUUUGAUUUUGUUCAAAAUCAAAUCUUUUGUAAAUUUUGAUAAAAAUUGAAGGAAUGUGCGAUUGUAAAUUUUAUAUGAGUUGUAUGGUUGAAAUUAAUGGUUGAUUUUAACUUAGAUUUUGACCAAUAUUUUAGCUAAAUCAACGAAGUAGUAAACGAUUGCAAUCGCGCAAAUUGCGCAGAGAAUGAGAAAACGUCAAUAUACACACAUGAAAUAUGUGUCUACUCAACUUUUUACUCAUUUAUUAAAAGUAGUAGAACUUUCUUUUAGUUGUUUGAAAUAUGCUUAAAUAUCAUGUGCAAAUGCUACGAUUGUAGAAAGUCAAUUUCACCAAAUAUAAAGAUAUCAUAGGUUACAAGGAACAAUCUGAUGGAUAAGACAUUUCAUUCCUAGGUGAAAUCUCCCAAAAUCUUUUCAUCUUCUAAGUCAAAAACAUACAACAUUCAUCUUUAUUACUCAACUUUAUCCAUUUCUCCUAAAUUCUAAUUUCCAAACAAAAAGGUUAAUCCCUUCAAUGUUAUCUUCUUGUAUGGUUUGAAUUCUUGAUUUUAUUUGUUUAAAAUUGAACUGCCUCAUCAAAAAGCUAUAUGGUAUCUCGUCCCUUUUCAAUUAUGAAAGUAAUUCAAUGCGCGAGGUAGUGCACUGAUAUGAUAAUUUUAUAUAAAUAAAUAUGUCCCUUCUUUAAACAACUUAGAUUUUUAAAUAAGGCAAUUCAACACAUGACCAACGUAGAUAAAGAUACCAAGUAUUGGCACCAUCCAUUUAUGACCCUGUCCAUACAUAGGAGCUUUGAAAUGCAAAUAACUAAUUAUGUUUACUUUCUAAUAGCUUUCAUUUUAGAUGAAGCAAUUCAAUAUUUCAUAUAUCAUUUUUACUUUUAGUUUCAUUUCUUUUCCUUUCUCACUUCUAAUUUUAUUACUUGUACCUUCACAACAUAUAGCUUGAAAUUCUUCCCAAAUUUCUAGAUUUCCAAAUUACAGCAUUCUCAACCCUAAAGGAACAUUCUAUGUGAUCCCUAUGACAAAACCUAGUUCACAAUUUUCCAGCCCCUCCAUGUUAAAUUAGUUCAGAUAUCAACUGUAGAGAUCAAACCUAAAAUCUGGUCAACAAGCCACAAGGGAGAGGAUGACAAAAAAUUAUAUCUAGCAUGAAUCAAGUUUCUUGAUUGAGGAUGAACAGUAAAAAUCUGAAUGCUUAUUCUCCAUUUUCAAAGGGUGGGAAAAAAUGGGGAAGAGAGAAUAGAAAAGUAAUCCAUACAUGGGACAACCCACAUGAGUUCCCAUGCUGUUGAUUCAACCAUGCAUAAAAUCUUUAUCUUGUUGUGUCCAUUUAGAUUUGAAUCACCACCAGACACAAAUAUACCAAAGACAAACAAAAAAGUAAUUUUGGACCCAUAGGUUGGGAGGGACCCUAUGAUCUUUCUCUGCGGGACGACACCCAGGAGAGAAAGGAAUGCAUUGGGACGGUAAACAAGAAAACUACAUUUCGAAGAUUGGAAGUAGUUAUUAAUUCACAGUACAGAAUGAAAACUUCAUUCUCAUUGAAACCAAAUACUUUAUUACCUAGAUGAACAUCAAAACCAUAGCUCACACUCACCAACUUGCUUCAUCAAACUACGUUUUGAAAUUUGCACUUCCAUGAGCCAAUAGUGACAUGGCAGAUUGUGGCUUACCAGAAAAAGACAUGAAAAGUACAGUUGUACUUGUGUCCUUUUCCAUUGGAAUUUCUGAGUUUCGAAUUUUCUCUCCUUUAUAACAAACUCAGAAAAUGUCCUAGUUUGACACUGUUACCAAGAAAGAAACACACAUGGGGUGUUCACCAACUGUAUCUCUACUUACUAAUGAAGAAAGCCCGUUCCCUCAUGUUGUGAUGCACCUUUCAUUCAAUUUCAGUGUUUAACUGGUGGAUUGUAAGCACUGUCCUAGAGGUGUCAAAAACGUGCCAGGUAGCCCGAAGCCUUCAUGCAGUGCAUGACCUGGCGCUGCAGCCGAACCUACCUUAAAAAAAAUCUGCAAAUUUAUCCAAAUGCAAUUGUACGGGUCCCGGCAUCUGGCCAGGUAAGGUUUCCACUUCAACAUUCUUCAAUCUUCUUAUCCUAGUUCUGCAGGGCUCCCAGAACAAUGUGAGGCAUAAGUUCUCAUGGUACUCUUGUCCUCACCUGCUUUCAGUAUAUCGGUAUUCUACUAAAAGCUAUACAGCAGGAAUGAACAAUUUCUUUGAGACGGGCAAAGUCAGAGUCAUUUGGCUCGAAAGUUACACUAGAUGGCAUCAGGAUCUGAAUUCACUAUUCACUAGUCUGCAAAGAAUCUAUGAGCACACAACUCUAAAAUGUUAAGUCCGUUGUCACACAGAAACUAACUGCUUUCAGAUAGUUUUAUAAAUCUGCUUGAGAACAAUUAAAAGUAAGCCUUAAAAUUUUACCCCUAACAUCAAUUGGAGUUACUUCAAAUAAUCAAUGUUCAUUAAUUAAUGUCAGAACAGCAUCAAGUGCCAAUUAAUUCAAUAUAUAACUUGAAGCAUGAUAAACUAUUAAUGAAAUUCGAUAGCGGCAAAUAACAAAAUCUUUGAAUAGCAUGUACAAGAGCAAAGAUCAAAUCCACUUCAUCAAGGAAGCUUGCAUGCGUGGGCAGAAAGGCAUCAAAUUUAACAUACAUCUCUCUUUCCAAUAUCUCAUGCAAAAUUAGAGAUUAUUGCUCCAAUAAAAUCAGAUGACUUCAUACUAUUUAUACUGAUGAAGGAAGAAACAAAAGCCUAAAAUCCCUACGGAAAUUCUAUGACCACAUAAAUAUUAGACAUUAAAUAAUAGGUUUCAUGUACAAGAACAAGCAGGCUAUUUCCAGCUGUCAUUCCCCAAAAUUUUCAUUUGGAAGAAACCAUCUGAUCAAUUUCACCAUUUUGGUUGUACAUAGACACAAUUUUCUUCGCAUACGAUGGAAUAUGCCUAUCAGCUCU
rnacentral:lncRNA from 1 species